UUUUUUUUUGUUUUCUUUUUGGUUGAGGGAAGUGCGAAUUGAUUUGGUACGUACAAGUACAAUAUUACACGUUAAGCUUGUCCCUAAAAUUCAACCCGCGCCUUGUUAUAUCCCGAAAAUUCAGAUAUCGUGCUCCCAAAACUGGCGCCUUCACAACCUGCGCUUUGCUAUCCCGAAACUACAACACGCGCGAAAACUCCCUCCAGCUGCCAAACCCCGACACAUGAAAUCCCCCUUCUAACCGUGAGCCGAAAGGGCCGCUAGUUCAAAUCGGUGGGGGGUACUUUUGUAACACACCCUACAUUUUGGACAAGCGCAUCCCUAAGUCAUGGUUCACCCCCUCCCAUCGCCCCCUUUUCACCAUCCAGGCCGCCAUAACCUUUCCGCUCUAGCCGCGAAACCCCACCACUACUAGGAAAAGGCCUACUAAUGGCGCACCUAAUUUGGCCAUUAAUGGCGCAUUAGUGGUGCGCCAUUAGUGCCACGCCAUUAGUAUAUUUUACUAAUGGCGCACCACUGGUGCACCAUUAGUAUCUGGUAUACUAAUGGCGCACCACCGGAUGCGCCAUUAGUAUAUACAACAGUGCGCCAUUAGUAUGCCUCCCAGGGGGCCAUGUAUACCCAGGUGCUUUGGCAUAAUAAUGGCACACAACAACAAGAUGCGCCAUCAGUAACUUCGGCAUACUAAUGGCGCACUGUUUAAUGAUGUGCCAUUAGUAUCCUUUGGCAUACUAAUGGCGCACUGUGAUGUGAUGCGCCAUUAGUAUGAAUAUUAGUUUUUUUUUAUUUUUUUAUUUUCUGUUUUUUGCACAGGUUACAAAAUGUAUAAUUGGACAAAAUAUAGACAGCACACAUCAACAACAGAUUCAUCGAAUACAAUAGAAGAUUAGUCUCUGAAUACAAUUCAUCAUAUUAGUCUCUGAAUACAAUUCAUCAUAUUAGUCUCCGAAUUGAAAAGACCGAACAAAGAUAGAACAUUAUAUUACAAGUCUCAAGACCGCGAGUAGCGAGUUUGUCUUCACAUUAUAAGUCGAUAUUGAUCAUCUAAACUACCAUCACAUAGAAGAGAGCUGCGGUCAUCACAAUGAGCAUCAUCACGAUGAAACUCGUCUUCAUCCGGUUCCUCCAACGCUCCCUCCCCUCUCCCACUAGAUAGCGGGCAUAUCUAGAUUCGGCCUCGGUCCUAGUGGUGUACCCUUUGUAACUGUUACCGCUAAAUCGGUGAACCUGUCUCCGACACUCCUCCCAGUCGUCGUAGACUCCGGGAACCUUACCCUUGUACACGACAUACGACGGCAUUGCUAUGCACUAGCCAAACGAAACGUUAGUACCAAUUCACAGACAAUACAUAAGAAACAUAUAAGUAUGCAACAGAACGAUCGGAAGAGAAAAGCAAGACAUUAAUAGCAUCGAUUACAUCUAAGUUGAACGACUCUCGAAACCAAAGAGACAUACUACAAGUUCAUUAAAGUUUAAUUACAACAUGAGCCAAGCGAUGUUUCAGAACUAGACACAGCAUCACUGCUUUCGACUCGACUCAAGGGACCGGAGCGUGGAUGAAGCCGCCAUCUAUCGUGGGAGUCAUGAAAGAACGGGGGUUAUCAGCCUGCAUUUCUAGCAUUGUGUCGAUGUCACUGUUGGACGGUUGAUUUCUGAGGUAGAACUGCCCCGAGGUACGAAGGACAUCUUGAUGGAUGGUUUCCGCAAACUCCGACUGGAUGCGAAAGAAUUCUUGUCUGAUGUCCGCGUCCUGGAUUGCCGACACGCUCGCGGCCCAAUCUUUGAGUUUACUCGGUAGCAAAAGUUGAUGAUGGUCCCGUAUGAUCACCCGCAUGUGAUGGAUGGCGUAGUAGGCACCCUUCUGACUGCCAGGCGGCUGCUUGACGCAGCAGAACAUCGUAUUGUGGGAGAACACGUGCUUGCCAUACUUACGAAUAGGCCUGGUGAAGGUGCCUCCAGAUUUGGCGUAGCCGGGGAGAACAUCAUCAAGAACCUUCUUGACAUUUGUGUAGUCUACGUUCGACUGACGGUCCGGGUCGAAAUACGUGGCCAUGGGAUAUUUGGGGCUUAGGAGGAUGAGCGUGCAAUGUGUGUCACUGCAGAAAACACGGAAUGUUAAAAGAAAAAUGAUCGAAAUCUAAGAAUUCAUAUGUUACGGGCCGGUUGAGGGGAGGACUUACUCAGGAAAGUAAGGCACGAGGAAGUUAUCCUUAUCUUGGUUUGCCAGAAUGACGCCUUCGAGGUAAGAACUCACGACUUGCCGGUCCCCAGCGCUGCCCAAGAUCUUGGCACGCAUGUAGAAGGGGUCGACUAUCACGAUGUCCGGGGUCUUGUCGCGAAUGAUCCGCAUCUCCAUACUCAGCGAAAAUAGCCGAACGAAGGUGUAGUGCAGCGGAUGAAGGUUCAUCAUAGCGUGGAUGUCAUCAAACCGCAGGACGAUCGUACGCUCGAUGGAGUUAUCCACAAAGCCCUUGCCCUCAGGCACCUUGGCCGCGAAAACCGGGUAUGCCACAUCCUUCUCUCUGAGACGCUGCUUCUCCAAAGAAAGAACACUGUCAUGCAGACUCCGCAUAGCACCGGUUGCAGCAUUGAGCAUAUUUGUCGGUAGCAUCACCCUACCCGCCACAUGCACCCUCCUCGAGAUAUCCUCAGGUGAAGGUGGCCCGUCCUGAGCACGGAUCGUACUCGGUGCCGGAUGGCUCGCACCCUUGUUAGUCUUUCUUUUGCAUGCCUUCUUCUUCUCCUGUAAUGGGACCGAGUUCUGCUCACAGACCGCCUUCUUGAGUGUGUUUGGGCUGAUAAUAUUUCACACCUCGCCUAUCUGAGGCUCGGUGAAGUCGGAGCUGGAGGCAUCUCUUGAGAGCUGAACGGCAGACGACGCCUGUUGCAACUUGGCUUCUCCGUGGUACUAGCUAGAUCGCGCACGUCUUUUGUUGGGUUGGGUGACGGUGUCCUAGACUAGGGGGUACUCACCAUGUCGUCUCCCGAUCAGUUGGAUUGGGCCGAGGACCCCCAUGGCCGCAUACUCAUGGGCCAGUCCGGACAGCUACCGCAUACAAGGAAGAAUCAACAAGACUUGGCGAUCAAGACAAGGACUCCUCCCCCACCGGCGUAUUCGGCUAGGACUCUUGUUAUCCUAGGCCUCUGGUGCAUUAUAUAAACCGGGGCCAGGCUAGUCGAUAGAGAUAUACAACAACCACUACAAUCAUACCAUAGGCUAGCUUCUAGGGUUUAGCCUCCUUGAUCUCGUGGUAGAUCCACUCUUGUAAACAUCCACAAUAUCAAUAUCAAUCAAGCAGGACGUAGGGUUUUACCUCCAUCAAGAGGGCCCGAACCUGGGUAAAACAUCGUGUCCCUUGUCUCCUGUUACCAUCCACCUAGACGCACAGUUCAGGACCCCCUACCCGAGAUCCGCCCGUUUUGACACCGACAUUGGUGCUUUCAUUGAGAGUUCCUCUGUGUCAUCACUGAUAGGCUUGAUGGCCUCUUCAAUCGACAAUGACGCAGUCCUGGGUGAGACUUUUCUCCCCGGACAGAUCUUCGUAUUCGGCGGCUUUGCACUGCGGGCCAACUCACUUAGCCAUCUGGAGCAGAUCGAAAGCUACGCUCCUGGCCGUCAGCUCAGGUUUGAUCUUCGAUGGAUCUGAGCCACAGCCGAGAGUGCCGCGCUAUCACGAUGGGCAUGACCUAACUCUGCCGCCGGACAGCACCUUGGAGGCCGCACACGAAUCCGCUCUGACCCAUAGUCCGGAGCCGAUCACUCAGAUCGAGGACAGAUGGCUGGACACCGCCUCGGGAGCUGCAACUUCUAUGGCGAUGGAGCCGAACACUUAUCUUGUCCCGCAGAAAGCCCAUGACUCCGAGGUGCCGGACUCCGAACCUCCUGUGCCCCUGCUAGUCGAAUCCGAUUGGGCGCCGAUCAUGGAAUUCACCGCUGCGGACACCUUUCAGCACUCACCCUUCGGCGAUAUCUUAAAUUCGCUGAAGCAUCUCUCACUAUCCGGAGAGCCCUGGCCGAGCUACGGCCAGGAUGGUCGGGACGCGGACAAUGAAGAAAUUCAAUCCAACUUAAGUUCAAAAAGUCAGCUCGAUCCGACCGUCCAAACUCCGGGAAACUUCCGAUUAGUGCAUCACUUUUUGGAUCUGUUUUCUGCGUGAAAACGAAUCCGACCCGAGUUCGUCUUUUUUAUGAACGGGAUUUCGGACAUCCUUUUUGAAGGAAGUUUUGUAUGGGGUAUUGUGUUUUGUUCCCGAACACAUCCCACUAACUUUAAGAUCUUUUAAACAUGAUCUUCAACAUCAUGCUGGUGUCAAACCAGUCCGGCAAUAUUGCUCCACGGCUGCCGACCUGCGCUAGACACGUCGUCACUUUGUGGAGCCAACCUCAACUUUUUCGGAUCAUCAUCUUGGCAAGCCGAACAAGAAUCCGGCAUCACGAAGGAUAAAUCAUCACCAACAUCGCCGCCCCACGGAUUACACGGAGCGGGCAUACCGGCAUCGCCGCACGGUCGCUUCAUCAAGCCGGCAUCGACCACAUCACGACCUGCAUCGGCAGGGCCGCACUAUUGCUUCUUCAAGCUGGUGUCCAUCACGCCGACCUACUUCGACAUAUCGGCUGGACCGGGGGCUUCGCCAUCUCUUCAUCAACCUACUCCGGAUACUUCGGCGUCACUAGCCGACCAGGCAUGGGUGCGCGGAUCGAGUCCCAAUUUUGGGAAUCACCUUCCUUCGGAUUGCUACAACAAAUAAACCAGGUGCUAUUAAUCCUAGUAUUUCUUUUUGCUUGUUUGGGUUAAAUUUUUCCCAAGGAAUUGUGACUCUAGUUAGUCCAGCAUAUGUACACAGGUCUAUCAAAUGGUGGCCGCAUUAUCGACGGUCGCAUGAUGGUUCGGUCAGUUUCCGUACACAGUUUGGCGAACGCCGCAUCCGGAACUCAGACCGACCUGUGAAUCCAGGCUUUGCCACGCCUUUAUUGCAUUACGCCGACGACCUGCAUCACAUCGACUUCGGCGCCAGGCCAUAUUUCUUUUACUACUCACUUUGCAUAAAUUAUUUAUUAUGCAACAUUUUUUUAAUUCCUAUUAUUACUAUUAUCCCCGGUCUGCACUAUUUUUUGUGCACAGGAAAAUGAUCCAGCCGGACUAUAUCCUUUGACGUCACCUCGGCUGGACGGGGGGCUUCGUCAACACUUCAUUACCCCAUGCCAGGGACUUCGGCAUCACUCUGUCAUCCUGCAUUGACCAUGAUAUGUCACCACUUCACAGGGCCGAGCUCUUUGCUCCGCCACCUCGGGACAGGCUUGGGGGAUGGAACCUUGUCCCGCAUCAAGCUCGGACCGCAUCGUCAAUACCGAACACAUUAACCAGCUAAGUUGCCUUCAUGCUCAAAGUUUUAAAAUUUCUAACUUGUGUUCGGUUCGACCAAGCAUUAUACUUUCUCGGGAAAAAGUUGCUUAUCUUCCUUGUCGAAACUUUGUUCGCACACACUUGACGCGCUACCCGUGCUCAUUAUACCUGGGGGCUUCUUUAACAGAAGCUUAUUAAUUCGGGCUUUAUGCCCAACACAUGUGUCACACUUCCACAUGUACCUUUUAUUCACCAUUAUAUGCAUCGAUAUGACUUAAGUUUUGGCCAAGCUAGGUUGCCUGGCUCCUGUGCUUACCCCUACAUUCUCGAUUGUUCGGUUAGGUGGUAAAGGGAGCACCUCUGCGAUUGUUACUGCCGGGUCAGCCGGAUGUGUACCUCAGACUGGGUGAAGCCAAAAGCUAGCGUUCUUAAGGGAAUACUCGGUCGGUGAACUAAAAGAUGAUUUCUUACCUAUUUAUUUACCUGCCCCCAGAUGUUUUUCUGCUCUUUUCGCAGUCCGGACAUGCACUUUAGGGCAUGCCUCCCAGGGAAAGGAACCCCUAACGGAACUAUUCUCCCUGGAAGAUGUUUCUUACUAACCAUGUAAUAUAACAUAACUAGUUGGGCACUUGUCUGAUAAAGCACUAAUGACCCCUACGCCUGGUCUCCACGCAUGCCCCGGUUUUUAUAACCGCGAGGGUAUUCGGACACACUCCGGACUAUUGGGUCCAGAGGUUGAAGCGAAAAGGUCCGCUACGACAAACGAUCUACAAUCUGGCUAGAAGGCAUUCUACAUGUCACCUUACAUUUUAUAGUCAAAUUUUACCCAAGUCGCUUGGGGGCUCUUAUAUUUAUUUGAGCCGUUUCAUACUAAGUGUUUUUCUUCUUAGUCGUUGCAAAGUUAAAGCACGGCAGAAGCACUUUUUUCUAAAGUCCAAUUUUUGGAUCGGCACCGAACACUUGAUCUUGUUCGGACGUCAUGUUUUUACUGACGUUUUUUGGUUUUCAAAGCUUAUGGCACUUUUAACUAUUUGUGUGUUUUCAGCACAAGUCUCGUAGUGCAACGUCGGACACCUUUAGUGAUUCGGCAAAAACAUUCUCGGAUAUUGCUAUAUAUGCAUCAGCUUCGAAUUGUGUCUUCAGUCAAUAGUUGGGUUGCCCGGCUCCCGCGCUUGCCUCCUACGUUCCGCUUUGUUCGGCUAGGUGUGCAAAGGGAGAACCACUGCGAUUGUGCUUCCAGCUCGCAUGGUCAAGCACCUCCGUGGAGAAAGCCGAAAAUUGACUGUCACAAUAGGUGUAAACUGGUCAGCGAUCCGAUGACUAUAUUAAAUGACGGCCCAUUCAUUGGCCGAAGUGUUUUCGGCUUGACCUCGACUGUUGCCGAACACUAUCGGGGGCUAUUAACUGGCCUCCCAAACUAAAUCCUCGAUAUUUUGCUCUUACAUUGGAGCAGAGGUUUCAUGAUCAUGCUUAGCAUGACAACCCAAAGAAAGGAACCGAUAGCGGGACUAUUUUCUCUGGAAGACAUUUCUUCUGUUAAACAGUAAUAUAACAUGUCUCUCCGCGUACCUUUGUUUAUAAAACCGUAUGGCCAGAUUGCCUUGUUUGUUGUAAAUCUUUGCCCUCAUAAAGGCUUUAUAAAGAAGGACAAACACUCCUCGGCUAUUGGCCGAGGAGGUGGAAGCCGAUGGUCGGUCAACAAAGUUUUGUACAAUGCGGAUCCGAGCAUUAAUGACGUAAAGUACUUGGAUACAUAGAGUCAUUACACAUAAUUUGUGAUUUUACUAUGGAUAUCGAUCCUUAAUUCGGCCUCCCGUGCCCGCAUUAAGGCUCGGGGGCUACUGGGCUUCGGGCUUAUUAUUUACAAAUAUUAAAGGGGCACAUCAAUCCCCUGAUUUGGUGUUGCCACCCGGCCAGUGUCUCGGGGGCUACUGCAUUGCCUGUUCUAUGCAGAAAAUUUUAAGUGCAAUACAGUUUCCGAGGAGAUUUUGAUCCUCAGGUUGGUCGGCCGCACCCAACCCGAGUCUCGAGGACUGAGCACGCCGCUUUUUGUGUCCUGAAGUAUUCUGCCGAGCUAGGACUUGAUCCUCAGACCGAUUUUGCAAAUCAACCUGAGUCUCAGCGGCUAUGGGGACCAGCGGUCUUAUGUCAUCCUUCAUGUGCAUCUCGGGUUUUAGACCGAUACCCACCUUGAGGGCUACUGGCUAUAUAUCUCGUCAGAGAAUAAAUUGCAUCAAUAAAAAACAUUGACCAAAAAUCAGCCCAUGACCGAGGUGCUUAACCACCUCGGAAGCAGUCCGGCAUAAAGCUCGGGCGCUAGUGGCUGGCUCCAUAGAGGGCAUUUCCGGCAUUAAGCUCGGCUAAACUCCUUCAAAGUUCUUUGAACCAAGGUGAUCUACGACACCUCGGAUACAGUCCGGCGUUGGAGCUCGGAUACAUAGUCCGGCGUUAGAGCUGGGAAGCAGUCCGGCAUUAGUGCUCGGCUGCAAAAGAUACCUUGAAUGCAGUCCGGUGUUGGAGCUCGGACACAAGAGGAGAUUGCCGCCCGGGAACAACUUCAAACCCGAGGUGUGGCAUAAAAAUAACAAGGCAUUGAUAAAGGCCGGAAACUUAAAGGGGCUCCUCGGAUACCCGACGUAUAAACUCAUCGAAUGCAUUUCGGCGAUCCUCAAGAUCGAAGAUGAGAAGAUUUGUUGAACCAGUUUUCAAGACCGGCAACCGAAGAUGAAGAACAGUUCGGAAGAAUCGAGGAGCGUCCCUAACUUGAAGACCGGUUCAGGGGGCUACUGACGAUGUCCUGGACAAGGGGGUACUCACCAUGUCGUCUCCCGAUCAGUUGGAUUGGGCCGAGGACCCCCAUGGCCGUAUACUCAUGGGCCUGUCCGGACAGCUGCCGCAUACAAGGAAGAAUCAACAAGACUUGGCGAUCAAGACAAGGACUCCUCCCCCACCGGCGUAUUCGGCUAGGACUCUUGUUAUCCUAGGCCUCUGGUGCAUUAUAUAAACCGGGGCCAGGCUAGUCGAUAGAGAUAUACAACAACCAUUACAAUCAUACCAUAGGCUAGCUUCUAGGGUUUAGCCUCCUUGAUCUCGUGGUAGAUCCACUCUUGUAAACAUCCACAAUAUCAAUAUCGAUCAAGCAGGACGUAGGGUUUUACCUCCAUCAAGAGGGCCCGAACCUGGGUAAAACAUCGUGUACCUUGUCUCCUGUUACCAUCCGCCUAGACGCACAGUUCGGGACCCCCUACCCGAGAUCCUCCGGUUUUGACACCGACAUUGGAUUCUUGAGAAGGAGGCCCCAUGAAGUCGCCAUCGUACCCAUGUUCAGCAAAGUACUGAUCGACGUUGCCAAAUGUAUCGUCGUCGUCGUCGUUCUGAUCCUGUGCCAUAUGCAUGUUUGGAUCCAGUGGCAUAGGGAUGUCCGCCACUGUUGCGGCGGUCUUGCCAUGGGGCCGACUUGGCGCCGGCACGACUGGCGGUGUUGUCUUUGGGGUGGUGUCCCCCGCCCCCAAACGAAUCUGGCACUUCGGCCAAAGCAGGGGCCAGCUCAGGCAGGCGCUGAGGGUCAUCACGUCAUCAUCGUCGGCCCCGAUGGGUCGAAUCGGAGGUAACAACUCGUCACAGCCUGGCAGCACCCGAACCAGUUCAACCCUAAACAAGUUGGGUGGCAUCGGGGUACCGUGGAACAAGGGGUUGCCCGGUUGAACGAUUUUGCCCUUGGUGACAUCGACCAACUCGUUGUUUACGAAGUGCAGGAGAGUGCACAGAACAUCGGCGGCACCCUGCAAAAACAUGUAGGGCGUCAGGGAUGCCCAGUCAAAGGCAAGGAGAUGAAGUCCUCGACCGUGAGAGGCUUAAUUAGUUACCGUGAUGAUGGCGUCGAGCUCGGCUAAUGUCAAGGCACUGCCAACGGCGGGCGUGCUGUUGACGGAGGGGCCGCUUGCUGCAGAGGUGCCAGCCGGCGUACACCCGGGUGCAUUAAGCUCUCGUGCCGGCGUCGGAGACACCAAUGCCGCCUCCGCCGGCGACACCAAUGGCCCCGCCAUCGCAUUCUGCGAGUUGCUGGCCGUGAAGCUCGGAAUCGGGGGCGGCCCCUGUUGGCCGCCCGCAAUCCACGCACUCAACCCCUGGAUCAAGGUAGGCACAAUGGCGGUGAUCAUCGCUCCGAGUUGUUGUUGCACUUGCUCUUGGACAAUCUCCGGAAUCCGCGCCACCUGUGCCUUGAGUUCUUGAACCUCGUGCGCCUGGCUUUCCGAGCUGGUCUUUUUCUCCUUCCGCACACCAGCGGUAUAGUAUGACCCCCAUUUUAUGGACAAGCCUUUGCCGGCCACACGACCAGCUGACGUCGGCUUACUGAGCUUAUCCUUGUUCUUCAUUACAUUCAACACCCUAUUCAGAGUGGUGUCCCAAGGGUUGCUCUUAGUCGACCCCGCGCUACUGCUUUCAGUCGCCUGCGGAAGGAAUGUGAACCAUUUAGAAAUUUGGCUUCAUUAAUUAGAAUGCAACCAUAUGGAGCUAAUUACGCGGGGGUGUAUUCCUUACCAGAACAAGCUCAAGCGGCUUGGUCUUCGGAUCCGUGGUAAGCUCCUUUGUUAUCGGGUCCUCCUUGUACCGGGCCCUGACAUAGUUCCUGGUCUGCUUGUUACUGCUGUAUUUCUCGAAGAGGGGCGGUAGGCCUUGCUCGGCAUGCUCCGCGUCCUCCUUGUCCCAUAUAGGCUCCGCCACUCUAUAACCGCCGGGACCGAGUUUGUGUUCCCCUAAGUUCAACUCCCGCAUUUCUUUCCCCCACUAACUUGAUUCGGAGUUUGCGGUGCUCGAGCAAUUGAUCUUGAAGUCGUUGUAGUCAUCUUCGGUGAUCGAAGGAUUUUUCUCCUUGAUCUUCUCAUAACUCUCACCUUUCUCGGUCAUUCUCUUCACAUUGCUUUUCCAAGUAGACAGGGCCUUGCUCAUCUUCGUGAGGGCAGCAUUGUUCACUUUAUUCCGAAAUAAGUCAUGCUAAAAUUCACGGAAAAUUUCAGCAUGACCUUUGCUGAAAAUAGGACAUAUGGAGUACCCGAAUUUGCUGGAACGGAAGUUAAUCGACAUUCCAGCAAACUCAAGGGCCUCUUGGGUGGACAAGGCAAAAAAGGCCUUCAUCACAACAUGGAAAAUACAUUGGCAUGUGAAGAGGUGAAACAAUAUAUACAUCUCCAAGCAGUAUCAUUCAACAUUUUGGACAAACCACUACAAGCAAUACUGGAUCAGAAUAACUUUGUUGUGUAUUAGAGUUCUGCUUGCUUUUAUUGUUUUAGUUCAAAUCUGAAUUAAAACCAAGACAAGUAUUUUGGAAUGGAGGGUGUAGUAACUUAGCAAGUACUACCUCUGUUUUUAAAUGUAAGACGUUUUGACAGUUUAGUUGAACUGUGAAAACAUCUCAUAUUUAGGAACAGAGGGUGUGCCAAUUAAAGGAAGGUCAUUCGUGUUCUGAGCAAACACAAGACAAUGCAUAAUUGUGCUAGUAGUAAAACACAGAAUCUUGCAAAACCAAAAUACUUUCUUAUUAACUGCAAGUGGGGAACACCAGGAGUAGAAUUAAUUGGCGGCUGCUCAUGUCUAACAGCCCUGUGGCAGCUGAGCCUGAAGACAGACAAGUCUCACCAGAUGAAAUAAACGGGUUUCUAAUAAGUGUGUAAAGAGUGAUGAUUCUUCUAGAGACAUAGUAGCAGUUUCUAACAUAUUACACUGACAACUGAACUGUCACAAGUAAGAGACCUCAUUAGGCAAAAAGCCAAAGCCCACAAGUACUUGUGAACUGAAUCUUGCAAGUCCAAACCCAUUGCUUGAAUCCAGAGAAAUAAAAUUAGAAUGCUCACAGGAAGAAUAAACUCACACUAACACAUAAUUAUUACUGAUAGGCUAACACCACACAUCUUCAAAUAAUUCCAAGAUAAUUCGUGCAGUAGACACCACAAUGUGAUCACACAAACAAAAUAGCCUCAAACCAGUUAUUCUCGCAUGAUAAUAUGAAAAUGCAUAUGGCACUGCCAAAUUAUACUAUCCAUAUUUUGGUAUAAUGUCAUUAUUCCAUACAGCAGGCAGCACUGUCACCACAAAUCAGUUAUUCUAGCAUAAUAUAAAUACGCAGAACAGAAGCAACAAUUUACAUUUCUGCAUAUGGCGUUGCCAAUUUUUUUCUAUCCAUGUUUCAAUUUGAUGCCAUCACUCCAUUCAGCAAGCAGCAUUGUAACAAAAAGAAAUUCUAGGCGCAAAUUUCUUCAGAAUGAAAUUAAGUUAGUGAAAUGUCACACAUUUCUUCACAAUGAACAGAUUUAUACUAUCUAUCAGCAAGUAAAUUAUGCCAUUUGAACAGAUUUGAACAGCGAGGGGGAGAGGGGGAGAGGAGGAGGGGGNNNNNNNNNNGUUGCCAAUUUUUUUCUAUCCAUGUUUCAAUUUGAUGCCAUCACUCCAUUCAGCAAGCAGCAUUGUAACAAAAAGAAAUUCUAGGCGCAAAUUUCUUCAGAAUGAAAUUAAGUUAGUGAAACUGUCACACAUUUCUUCACAAUGAACAGAUUUAUACUAUCUAUCAGCAAGUAAAUUAUGCCAUUUGAACAGAUUUGAACAGCGAGGGGGAGAGGGGGAGAGGAGGAGGGGGAGCUCACGGGGGCGGUGGUGUGGACAGGGCGACGNNNNNNNNNNNNNNNNNNNNNNNNNNNNNNNNNNNNNNNNNNNNNNNNNNNNNNNNNNNNNNNNNNNNNNNNNNNNNNNNNNNNNNNNNNNNNNNNNNNNNNNNNNNNNNNNNNNNNNNNNNNNNNNNNNNNNNNNNNGACGAGGUCCGGGUGGUGGUGGUGCUCCGGCGACGGUGGUGUUGACGGGGCGUCCGGGCCACCGGCGACGAGGGCGGCGGGGCGAUGGCGUCCAACAAGGUGGGGCGACGGGGAGAGCGGCGCCAAGGAGACGAGGACGAUGGGGCGGCGGGGCGGCGGCGUCGGGAGAGGAGAGGGUGGCGUCAGGGCGUCGGGGCAGAGACGAGGACGACGGGGCGGCGUUGAGGCGACGUCGGGGCGGUGUCGAGGCGGCAGGGCAGCGGCGUCGGGAGAGGAGAGGGGAAGGGGAUCGAGGGCGAGGGCGAGGGAGAGAGAGGGGAUAGGUUUGGGCCGGGAUAUGGAUGGGGGCGGCACAAUACUAAUGGCGCACCACCCCUCGGUGCGCCAUAAGUACAUCCAUACUAAUGGCGCACCUCGCCCUGGUGCGCCAUUAGUAUUUUUUUUUUGAUUUCUACUCGAGCCAACAAGUUAUCUUCCACCUGACCUGAUCCACAUCAAGUUCCCUCUACUAGCUUGACUGGUCAGCAGCCAGUUCUCACACCAGGAGGUCCUGGGUUUGAUUCCUAGGCUCCACAAUUUUUUUAUGCAUUUAAAAUGUUGUUUGAUACUUAUUUGUGUUUUAAUAUGUUCAAACUUGUUUAAAUCAUAACACUAAUAUUUUUUUUAUAAGACAGUAAUAAUUUUUUUUAAAUAUCAUCAAACAGUAAUGCCNNNNNNNNNNNNNNNNNNNNNNNNNNNNNNNNNNNNNNNNNNNNNNNNNNNNNNNNNNNNNNNNNNNNNNNNNNNNNNNNNNNNNNNNNNNNNNNNNNNNNNNNNNNNNNNNNNNNNNNNNNNNNNNNNNNNNNNNNNNNNNNNNNNNNNNNNNNNNNNNNNNNNNNNNNNNNNNNNNNNNNNNNNNNNNNNNNNNNNNNNNNNNNNNNNNNNNNNNNNNNNNNNNNNNNNNNNNNNNNNNNNNNNNNNNNNNNNNNNNNNNNNNNNNNNNNNNNNNNNNNNNNNNNNNNNNNNNNNNNNNNNNNNNNNNNNNNNNNNNNNNNNNNNNNNNNNNNNNNNNNNNNNNNNNNNNNNNNNNNNNNNNNNNNNNNNNNNNNNNNNNNNNNNNNNNNNNNNNNNNNNNNNNNNNNNNNNNNNNNNNNNNNNNNNNNNNNNNNNNNNNNNNNNNNNNNNNNNNNNNNNNNNNNNNNNNNNNNNNNNNNNNNNNNNNNNNNNNNNNNNNNNNNNNNNNNNNNNNNNNNNNNNNNNNNNNNNNNNNNNNNNNNNNNNNNNNNNNNNNNNNNNNNNGUGCGGGGGGUCGGCGGCGGCGGUUGAGUAGGGGAAUCGAGGGUGCGGGGGGUCGGCGGCGGCGGCCGGUGGACCGGGGGGUGCUCGGCGGCGAGGGGGACCAGAUCUGGCGAGGUGGGAUAGCGAUCGAGAUGGAGGGGGAUCGAGAUCGAGUGUCCAUGAAAUUUAAAAAUAUUCAUGAUAGUUCAAAAAGUGCCCAUGAAAUACAAUCGAGAAAUGAAGGCUACGAUUUAAAUACAAUCGAUCUUAGCUAGCUAUCUGUUCACAAUCUUCUUGCCCUUCUUUUUCGCAAAUGGAGUUCUUCUGUGGAACGGACGUCCUUUAGGUAGGGUGGUCCUGCUUCUUCUUGUGGUGUAUGCUGCUACUUCAUCAUCGUCGUCAUGUUCGAUCCUCGGGUCGCCGUACUUGUUGAAGUCUUGCUCAUUGGCUACUCCAUCCAUUCCGAUGAUCUUCCUUUUGCCUCUCCUCAUGACAACACGACUGGGCUUUGGCGGGUCGGUAAUGAAGAAGCAUUGGUCCACUUGGGAAGCCAGUACCCAUGGCUCAUUUUUCGCGGUGACGUUUGCGCCCGCGGUCUUGGAUUUGGCUUCGGGUAUAACCAUGGUGGUGAAAUAUCGGUCUUCUUUUAGGAUGCUCUUGGCAAAUCUGACACAGAACAUCGGCACCUUCUCUCUAGCGUAGCUCAGCUCCCAGAUCUCCUCGAUCCUUCCAUAGUAUCUGUCCUUGUCCUUACCGGUGUAGGAUUCCAUCGUUACCCCGGAGUUCUGAUAACCAUCGCUCUUCAUGUCCUUGUCCUUGGUGUAGAAUGUGUAGUCGUUGAUAUCGUACGCCUCAUAGGUCAUCAGGUUGUGCUCGGCGCCCUGUGACAAGGUGAAUAUGAGUUGUUCUUCCGCGGAAGAAUCUUCAUGUAAAGGGUACGACAGAAGCUUCUGCUUGAACCAACGCGUGAAACAUGAGUUGUGCUCUUUGAGUAUAUAUCCGUCCGUCCUCUGUUGGCCUCGGUCAUUGUACGUCUUCUCAAUAAAGGUUUUGUUCUCUACCACCCAAGGAUCGACCACGUUUAUGUGUUGUAGCGCGACUAGGUUUGCUCUUUCAAAGUCGGUGAGUCGACCCUCGAAGUCGAUAUGCAUUUCGCGGCGACCCUCACGGUGACCCCAUCCAGCGAGCCUGCUGAGGUGCCUGUUGACGGGCAGACCAACGGGGUUCUCGAUGCCUAGAUAAUCCGUGCAGUAGGAGAUGCACUCUUCGGUCAGAAAGCCCCUGGCUAUACUUCCCUCUGGACGUGACAUGUUCCAAACGUAUCCUUUGAUGACACCAUUCAUCCUUUCGAAGGACAUCAUGCUGUGCAGGAACGUCGGCCCGAGUUGGAUGAUAUCCUCCACGAUAUGGACCAGCAGAUGCACCAUAACGUCGAAGAAUGCGGGCGGGAAGUACAUCUCAAGCUCGCAUAGUAUCACCACGAUCUCUUCCUGUAGCCUUCUGAGUUGCCUCACGCCAAUCGACUUCCGAGAAAUGAUGUCGAAAAAGUUGCAUAGGCCAAAUAGCGUUUCACGGACGUGCGCGUCCAUGAUCCCAAGGAUUGCAACUGGAAGUAUCUGCGUCAUUAGCACGUGACAGUCGUGAGACUUCAUCCGGCUGAACUUCUGCUUCGCUGGGUCUAGGUAUCUGCUUAUCUUCCCCGCAUAACCGUAAGGAAGUUUUACUCCUAGGAGGCAGGUGAAAAACUGCUCGAUCUCCUCCUGACUUAGAGUGAAGCACGCGGGAGGGUAGUCAUUUCCGGUCUCCUUGGCCUUUUUGCCUUUGCGACGACUUUCUGUGUCCUGCUUCGCCUCAUCAUCAUCAUCAUCAUCAUUAGCGUGAAGCUCCUGCCUGAUGCCCAUUGAUUUCAAGUCUGCCCUUGCUUUCGGCCCAUCUUUGGUCCUCUCUGGCAUGUUGAGCAGGGUACCAAGCAGACUCUCGCACAUGUUCUUCGUGAUAUGCAUGACAUCAAGGCUGUGAGGCACAUGGUGGACUUCUAGUACGGCAAGUCCCAGAAAACAGACCUCGUUUUCUAUACCUUCAGCAGCGGCUCUGGCGCCUUUCGCUUCUUUCCCGGCUCUGGCACCUUUUGCUUCUUUCCCGGCAGUGGGCAGUCUUUCCAAUUUUUCAACAGCUUGUCUAUUUCCUCGCCGUUCCUCGUACACGGGCGUUUUCGGGGUUCGGUUUCACCAUUGAACAGAUCCUUGCGUUUCCUCCACGGGUCAUCGUCGCGAAGCCACCUUCUAUGUCCCAUGAACACGGUUUUCAAAGACCCGAGAUCUCUAUCUAGCUGGCGAUACGUUGUGUCAUCCAUGCACCUUACGCAUCCAGAAAAUCCGUGGACUACCUGCCCCGCGAGAUAUCCGUAACCGAGAUAGUCGUGCACCGUCCUGAGCAGUGCGGCUCUCAUAGGGAAAUAUUUUUUCUCUGCAGCAUCCCACAUGUUGGCUGGCGUUUUCCAUAGCGUGUCAAGCUCCUCUUUCAGCAGCCCCAGAUACAGAUUUAUGUCGUUCCCUGGUUGUUUCGGCCCUUCAAUUAGCAUACUCAUGUGAAUGUACUUCCUCUUCAUGCACAACCAGGGGGGAAGGUUGUACAUCCACACAAACACAGGCCAGGUGCUAUGUGUGCUUCUCUGGCUUCCAAACGGAUUGACUCCAUCGGUGCUCGCGCCAAGCACGAUGUUCCUUGGAUCGUUCCCAAAUUCUGGGUCUUCAAAGUUCAACGCUUGCCACUGGCUCGCAUCCUUAGGGUGACUCAGCAUCUUGUCUUUUUUAUCCAUCUCCGGAUCAUUUGCGUCAUCUUCUCGCUUCUUCUCCUCCCUGUCCGCGUGCCAACGCAGGAGCUUUGCUACCUUAGGGUCCGCGAAAUACCGCUGCAGACAAGGAGUGAUCGGAAAGUACCACACAACUUUUCGAGGAGCUUUCUUCCUCUUCUUGUAUCGAGUGACGCCGCACACCGGACAUAUAGUAGACUCCGCGUGCUCGUCCCGAUAAAUGAUGCAAUUGUUCAUGAACACAUGGUAUUUCAUGUGCGGUAAAUCCAGAGGACACAUGAUUUUCUUCGCCUCCUCCAAACUGGUCGGGCACUUGUUCCCCUUGGAAAGACGUUCGUGCCAGAAUGACAUGUUCUCGUCGAAACAUGCGUCGGUCAUUUUGUGUUUUACCUUCAUCUCCAGAGCCAUGAGCGUUACUUUCAGGCGGGUAUCCUCGGGCCUGCAUCCUUCAUACAAUGGAGUAACCGCGUCUAACUCAAGUUGAUCCAUUUUGGCUUUCUCUCGGGCGGCAGCUCUUGCGUUAUCCGUCUGCUUGAGAAGCAGCUCUUGAAUAUGAGGGUCCUGCACCCAGCCCAUCGAUGGUCCAGCGUCGUCUGCUCCGCCGGCAUCAUCAUCUUCAUGAUCAUGCCCGUCGUCUGCUCCGGCAUCUUCCUCAUCAUCAUGUCCUGCAUCUUCUACAUGAUGACUGUGUACAGCAUCACCGUCAUGAUCAUCUCCUGGGGAUUCUUCAUCUUCUCGCCCGCCCGAGCCGCGGUGGCUGUCUUGCUGCCCUUCCUCAUUUCUUGCCCGGCCCCCAUGGACGACUUCGUAGUCAUCUUCAUCACCUUGCCACCGAUAGCCAUCCAUGAAACCACGCAAGAGCAGGUGGUCCCGCACCUGGCCGGAAUCCGGGUCCGCAAUAAGGCUCUUCAGCUUGCAUCUUCGACACGGACAUCUUAUCUCCGUCUUGUUCUUUUGAAGCAUCUCGGCCUUUGCGGACCUCAAAAACCUAUUCACGAUGCCUUCGGUCAUCGUGCGGACCAUGGUCGCCUGCGGGGUAGAGCAAAACGAUAUUUUAGAACCAAGAAAAAAUUUGGCAUGACUUUCCCUAAAAAUAGGACCAAAAAGAAUGCUUAAUGCCAAAAUUCUCGCCGAAAUGGAAAUGAAUCAACAUUCCGGCAAAAUAUUGGCAACUAUCGCAUUUCAAAUACCGGUACACCUCCAAACACAAACACAUAUGCAACACCACAAACAUAUGCAACACCACGAACAUACAUAGAUCUAGCUAGGCCAUAAAAAGUGCAUGUGCACAUUGUUGUAGGGAGAACAACAUAAAUAUAGCUUCCCCCCUUACUUACCUAUCAAAACAAGGUAAUUUAACCACUUAAUUUGAAUGAAUCUAUGGUGGAAAUGAGGUGAAAAAGAGGAGGCACCCGAGACAAGGAGGACGUGGAGAGAAUGAAGUGGGGAGAAAGUGAGUGUGGGUAGGAGAGGCUGUCCAAAAUAUCUUGUUGCUGCCCACUUACUAAUGGCGCACCAGCACUAAAUGCGCCAUUAGUAAUCCAGAUUACUAAUGGCGCACCUUCUGGCGGUGCGUCAUUAGUAGUUAUGCAAAAAGAAAAAAACAUACUAAUGGCGCACUGUUCUACAGUGCACCAUUACUAGUUUAAACUAGUAAUGGCGCACGGUUGAACAGUGCGCCAUUAGUAGUGUUGCAAAAAAAAGGAAUAAAAAAAUAACAUUAGUGGCGCACUUUCCGGCGGGUGCGCCAUUACUAGUUACAACUAGUAAUGGCGGACUGUGUUUAGAUGCGCCAUUAGUAUGUUUGGACAGGCGCACAAAAAAAAUUGAUACUAAUGGCGCACCUUGGGCCAGGUGCGCCAUUAGUAGUUUCAACUCUAAUGGCGUAUCAGAAGGUGGUGCGCCAUUAGUAUAUACUAAUGGCGCACCCCUUGUCUGGUGCGCCAUUAGUGUCAAUCCCAUCUAUAGCCCUUUUUCUAGUAGUGCACCCUCCUCGGUCCGCCACCUCACCGCUGCCCACCCAGAGCCUCUUCCCCGACGACGUCGUCCACCUCCCCGAAUGAGGAUCCGUCGUCCAUCUCGUCGUCCCGCCGGUUCAGCCGCUCCGUCCUCCACCUCCAAGGAGCUGCUCCGAUGAUCACCUCAUCUAUCAUGGCUGCUCCAUCCCCACAGCGUCGCCUUAACCUGCUCCACCGGAACCGCAGCAUCCUCACCGACUCCUCGGAUGAAGCCGAGGCCUACUCUGCGCCACCAAAGAGGUUGUACACUCAUCGCAUCGCACCUUCUCCUUAACUCGACCUCCCGGCACCGACGGUGCUGCAUCCCGAACUCCCAUGGAGCGGCUACCUUGAAGCCGGCGCCGCGGGCGACAUCUCCAUGGCGGCUCUCCCCCAGUGUGAGGCCCCUUCACUGGUGGCGUCCAUACCAGUCGUAUCUGCUGCUGCUGCUGCUCCGACUCUCGCUCAGUCGCUCGUGUUGCUGCUGCUGCUCCGGCUCUCGCUCGCUCGCCCAGCUGCUGCUGCUCCAUCUCUCGCUCACUCGCUCGCAUUGUUGCUACUGCUCUCUCCCUCGCUCGUGUUGCUGCUCUGCUCCGAUUUAACUACACUUCAAUCGACUGAAUCGACUUUUGGGUCAUUUGAUUUUCAGGGGGUGGGGGGCUCGCCGGAGUUAAGGAAGAACCACCCGCAGCGGGGACGGGGGCUCGCCGGGUAGGUACCCCACUAUCUAUCUUAAGGUUCAGGGUGGGGCGGGGGGCCUAGAGGGCUGGCCGGGGCGGCGGCGGACCGGCGGUGGGGAGUUGUUUCCGGGCAGCGAGACGGUGCUGGGGCCGGCGGUUCGGCCGGUGGUGACUGUCGGCUUAGGGGGUGCAGGUUGAAGAUGAACUGCAGGCUCUCCCUAAACUACAUGUCAAGUGCCUCUCUACUACCAUUGCGUUCAGUUUCGGCAGUAACAUUCAGAUUCCACAGUAAAUUUUAGUUUCGACAGUUAAGUUCAGAGUCAACAGUUUCUACCUCAUCUGUUGUAGUCAGGUGGUUUUUGGUGAUGUAAAUUUUACAUCUAUUUUACAUCAUCUAUUGGAGAUGCUAUUAGAAUCCCACUUGAGAUUGACGAUGUCUGUCUUGUGCUGCUUCAGCCUUGACGUCUUAUGGCUCACCGGAGUUGCUCCAAUGACAGAACGAUCCAUCACAACAGAGCAGUGCCUGAUGACCCACAAGUGAAGGGGUUCUAUCGUAGUCCUUUCGAUAAGUAAGAGUGUCGAACUCAAUGAGGAGCAGAAGGAAAUGACAAGCAGUUUUCAGUAAGGUAUUCUCUGCAAGCACUGAAAUUGUAGGUAACAGAUAGUUUUGUGAUAAGAUACUUUGUAAUGAGUAACAAGCAAUGAAAGUAAAUAAGGUGCAGCAAGGUGGCCCAAUCCUUUUUGUAGCAAAGGACAAGCCUGGACAAGUUCUUAGAAUGAGAAAAACGCUCCCGAGGACACAUGGGAAUUAUCGUCAAGCUAGUUUUCAUCACAUUCAUAUGAUUCGCGUUUGUUACUUUGAUAAUUUGAUAUGUGGGUGGACCGGUGCUUGGGUACUGCCCUUUCUUGGACAAGCAUCCCACUUAUUAUUAACCCCUAUUGCAAGCAUCCGCAACUACAAAAGAAGUAUUAAGGUAAACCUAACCAUAGCAUGAAACAUAUGGAUCCAAAUCAGCCCCUUAUGAAGCAACUUAUAAACUAGGCUUUAAGCUUCUGUCACUCUAGCAACCCAUCAUCUACUUAUUACUUCCCAAUGCCUUAUUCUAGGCCCAAAUAAUGGUUAAGUGUCAUGUAGUCGAAGUUCACAUAACACAACUAGAGGAGAGACAACAUACAUCUCAUCAAAAUAUCGAACAAAUACCAAAUUCACAUGACUACUAAUAGAAAGACUUCACCCAUGUCCUCAAGAACAAAUGUAACUACUCACAAAGCAUAUUCAUGUUCAUAAUCAGAGGGGUAUUAAUAUUCAUUAAGGAUCUGAACAUAUGAUAUUCCACUAAAUAAGCCAACUAGCAUCAACUACAAGGAGUAAUCAACACUACUAGCAACCCACAGAUACCAAUCUGAGGUUUUGGUACAAAGAUUGGAUACAAGAGAUGAACUAGGGUUUGAGAGGAGAUGGUGCUGGUGAAGAUGUUGAUGGAGAUUGACCCCCUCCCGAUGAGAGGAUGAUGGUGAUGACUAUGGUGAUGAUUUCCCCCUCCCGGGGGGAAGUUUCCCCGGCAGAACAGCUCCGCCGGAGCCCUAGAUUGGUUCCGCCAAGGUUCCGCCUCGUGGCGGUGGAGUUUCGUCCCGUAAUCUUGCUUAUGAUUUUUUCCAAGGUAAAAGACUUCAUAUAGCAGAAGAUGGGCGCCGGAGGGCUGCCAGGUGGUCCACGAGGCAGGGGGUGUGCCCAGGGUGGUAGGGUGCGCCCCCACCCUAGUGGGUGGUGGGUGGCCCCCCUAGGGUAUUACUUCUGCUGAAUAUUUUUUGUUAAUUCCCAAAAUGACUUUCGUGGAGUUUCAGGACUUUUGGAGCUGUGCAGAAUAGGUCUCCAAUAUUUUCUCCUUUUCCAGCCCAGAAUCCCAACUACCGGCAUUCUCCCUCUUCAUGUAAACCUUGUAAAAUAAGAGAGAAUAGCCAUAAGUAUUGUGACACAACGUGUAAUAACAGCCCAUAAUGCAAUAAAUAUCGAUAUAAAAGCAUGAUGCAAAAUGGACGUAUCAACUCCACCAAGCUUAGACCUUGCUUGUCCUCAAGCGGGAGCCGAUAUCGAAAAAUAUGUCCACAUGCUUAGAGAUAGAGGUGUCGAUAAAAUAAAAUACGGACAUGAGGGCAUCAUGAUCAUUCUUAUAACAGCAAAAUAAAUAUAUUUUGUCAUAUGAUUUCUUAUACUCAAGUAACAAUCUAUUCACAAUGUCAAGUAUGAUUCAGAAACUUCAUUGACAACUAACAAACUAUAAUCUCAGUCAGUGAAGCAAUUGCAAUUUAUCAUAACAUAGGAAAGAGUCAACAUAAGAGCUUUUCAGCAAGUCCACAUACUCAACUAUCAUUUAGUCUUUCACAAUUGCUAACACUCAUGCAAUACUUAUGGUUAUGGAGUUUUAAUCGGACACAGAGAAAUAUAGGUGCUUAUAGUGUCGCCUCCCAACCUUUUACCUCAAGGGUAAUGUCAACAAUAAUAGUUCAUGCUAACUUACAUCCAAUUGGAUAUAUAUAUCAGGAUCUUUCCAACACGAGGUGCUUGCCAAAGGAUAAAAUGUAAAAGGGAAAGGUGAAGAUCACCUUGACUCUUGCAUCAGGUAUAAGACAUAAAGUAAAAGAUAGGCCCUUCGCAGAGGGAAGCAGAGGUUGUCAUGUGCUUUUAUGGUUGGAUGCACGAAAUCUUAAUGCAAAAGAACGUCACUUUGUACUGUCACUUAUGAUAUGAACCUUUAUUAUGUAGUCCGUCGCUUUUAUUACUUCCAUAUCACAAGAUCAUAUAAAGCUUAUUUUUUCCACACUAUUAAGUCAUACAUAUUUAGAGAGCAUUUUUUAUUGCAUGCAAUAUGACAACUUACUUGAAGGAUCUUACUCAAUCCAUAGGUAGAUAUGGUGUACUCUCAUGGCAAAACUGGGUUUAAGGAUAUUAGGAAGCACAAGUAGUAUCUCUACUUGGUGCAAGGAAUUUGGCUAGCAUGAGGGGGAAAGGCAAGCUCAACAUGUUGGACGAUCCAUGACAAUAUACUUUAACUAAGAUGUGAGAAAACAUAACCCAUUACAUUGUCUUCCUUGUCCAACAUCAACUCUUUAGCAUGUCAUAGUUUAAUGAGUGCUCACAAUCAUAAAAGAUGUCCAAGAUAGUAUAUUUAUAUGUGAGAACCUCUUUUUCUUUAUUACUUCCUAUUAAUUGCAACAAUGACCAAAACUAUGUUUGCCAACUCUCAACAACUUUUAACAUCAUACCCUCUAUAUGUGAAGUCAUUACUUCCAUAAUAUCAACUUGGCCUCUGUUAUUUCUUUUUAUUCUUUUAUGCACUUAAGAUCAUAGCAAGAUAGCAAAGCCCUUAACUCAACACUAAUCUUUAUUAUAUAUAGCUCACGGACUCGAUUACAUAGAGGGGUCACAAAGCAAAACUCAAAACUAAUUCAUACCAAAACUUUAUUCUACUAGAUCAAGAUAUUACCAAAGGAUCAAACUAAGUAAAAUGGUAAAGAUAGGAGUGUGAUGGUGAUAUGAUACCGGGGCAGCUCCCCCAAGCUUGGCAGUUGCCAAGGGGAGUGCCCAUACCCAUGUGAUUAGUUCCUCAGAGGUGGUGAUGAUGGAGUUGUUGAUGAUGUAGGCUUGUCGUCCGACUUCCAAGGCAUAGGCUCACCAUCACAGAAGGAUGAUCGAGUCUCCGAGAUCCUCAAAUCUGCAGCCAAACUCAUCCUCUUGAAUCUAUUUUCAUACUCACAAUUUUGGUUUUGCAGGUCAUAGAUCUGGGCUUGGAGCUGCUCGAUUUUCUCAUCAAGCUUGAAGAUGGUCUCCUCAAUGUUCUUGGCGUCCAGCUUGUGGUUGUUGGUGAACUCCGUGAUCAUCAUCUGGUUGGCGUUGAGUCCGUGUUCCACCAUCCCUUGGCACUUGAAAACUUGUUGUUCCAUUGUUUCGAGCUUUGUCUCCAUGCUUCCGAUACUCCUUGGUCCCUCCACAUCGCGGAUGUGCAACACCCCCUCACGCAUCUCAAUGGUUUGAGGGUGAUGCAGCACCUCCGCGAGGAAGGGGUUGAUGACCUCUCGAAAAACUUGUCCUUGCGGGCGCUUGAAGACGUCAUGGUGCUCUAGAUUUGUCAAAAAAACAGCUCGAAACAAAGACAGAGGAUAUUCGCAUGAUAAAGUGGUCAAAACCUUCGGGAGAUUAUAUAAUGAUUUUUUACCGACCAAAAGAAGUAUCGUGCAAGAUAACGGAGUCCGGAGAGCACACGAGGUGCCCACGAGGCAGGGGGGCGCGCCCAGUGGGGUAGGGUGCGCCCUCCACCCUCGUGGAUGCCUCAUGUCCUUUCCGGACUACUUCUUAUUUUCCUAUUUUCUUAAAUAAUCCAAAACGGAGAAAAAUUGCUAUUAGAACUGUUUUGGAGUCAGUUUACUUACCGUACCACAUACCUAUUCCUUUUCGGAGUCUGAAACGUUCUGGAAAGUGUCUCUUAUGUAUUCCUCCGGAGUUACGGUUUCAAUAAUAUUAGUUUCAACAUUUGUAGGAUUACCUGAGAUAUAAUGUUUGAUUCUUUGAUCGUUCACCACCUUCGGAUUUGUGCCUUCGAAGUUGUUGAUUUUUGUGGCACCGGAACAUAGACCUCCUCGAUAACGUAAGGGCCUUCCCAUUUAGAGAGAAGUUUUCCUGCAAAAAAUCUUAAACGAGAGUUGAAUAGCAACACAUAAUCACCUACGUUAAACUCACACUUUUGUAUCCUUUUGUCAUGCCAUCUUUUAACUUUUUCUUUAAAUAGUUUGGCAUUCUCAUAGGCAUGGGUUCUCCAUUCAUCAAGUGAGCUAAUGUCAAAUAACCUCUUCUCACCGGCAAGAUUGAAAUCAUAAUUGAGCUCUUUAAUGGCCCAAUAUGCCUUAUGUUCAAGUUCAAGAGGUAAGUGACAUGCUUUUCCAUAAACCAUUUUAUAUGGAGACAUACCCAUAGAAUUUUUAUAGGCCGUUCUAUAAGCCCAUAAUGCAUCAUCAAGUUUCUUGGACCAAUUCUUUCUAGAUCUAUUAACAGUCUUUUGCAAAAUUAAUUUGAGCUCUCUAUUACUCAAUUCUACUUGACCACUAGACUAUGGGUGAUAUGGAGAUGCAAUUCUAUGAUUAACAUCAUACUUAGCAAGCAUUUUACCAAAAGCACCAUGAAUAAAAUGUGAACCACCAUCAGUCAUUAAGUAUCUAGGGACUCCAAACCUUGGAAAAAUAACUUCUUUAAGCAUUUUAAUAGAGGUGUUAUGAUCAGCACUACUGGUUGGAAUAGCUUCUACCCACUUAGUAACGUAAUCAACAGCAACUAAAAUAUGUGUAUACCCAUUAGAGGCAGGAAACAGUCCCAUAUAAUCAAAGCCCCAAACAUAAAAUGGUUCAAUAACAAGAGAAUAAUUCAUAGGCAUUUCUUGACGUCUACUAAUAUUACCAAUUCUUUGACAUUCAUCACAAGACAAGACAAACUUACGGGCAUCUUUAAAGAGAGUAGGCCAAUAAAAACCGGAUUGCAAUACCUUAUGUGCAGUUCUAUCUCCAGCGUGGUGUCCUCCAUAUGCUUCGGAGUGACACUUGCGUAGGAUAUGUUCCUGUUCAUGCUCAAGUACACAACGUCUAAUAACACCAUCUACUCCUUUAUAAAGGUGUGGGUCAUCCCAAAAGUAAUGUCUUAAAUCAUAGAAGAACUUUUUCUUUUCUUGGUAUGUGAAACUAGGUGGUAUGAAUUUAGCAACAAUGUAAUUAGCAUAAUCAGCAUACCAUGGAGCAGUACGAGAAGCAUUUAUGACAGCUAAUUGUUCAUCCGGAAAGCUAUCACUAAUAGGUAGUGGGUCAUCAAGAAUAUUCUCUAACCUAGACAAGUUGUCUGCAACGGGGUUCUCAGCUCCCUUUCUAUCAAUAAUAUGCAAAUCAAAUUCUUGUAGCAAGAGAACCCGUCUAAUAAGUCUAGGUUUAGCAUCUUUCUUUUCCAUAAGAUAUUUAAUAGGAGCAUGAUCAGUGUGAACAGAUACUUUAAAAUCAACAAUAUAAGGUCUGAACUUACCACAAGCAAAUACAACUGCUAAGAAUUCUUUUCAGUAGUAGCAUAAUUUCUCUGGGCAGUGUCUAGAGUUUUACUAGCAUAUUGAAUAACAUUCAGUUUCUUAUCAACUCUUUGUCCUAGAACAACACCUACAGCAUAAUCGCUAGCAUCACACAUACUUUCAAAGGGUAAAUUCCAAUCAGGUGGCUGAACAAUAGGUGCAGAAAUCAAAGCCUUCUUAAGUAUUUCAAACGCUUCUACACAAUCAUCAUCAAAGACAAAAGGAAUAUAUUUUUGUAAUAGAUUAGUCAGAGGCCUAGAAAUUUUAGAAAAGUCCUUAAUGAACCUCCUAUAAAAACCGGCAUGACCUAGGAAACUUCUUAUACCUUUAAUGUCCUUGGGACAUGGCAUCUUUUCAAUAGCAUCAAGCUUAGCUUUAUCAACUUAAUACCUGUCUCAAAAAUUUUAUGCCCCAAGACAAUGCCUUCAUUAACCAUAAAGUGGCACUUUUCCCAAUUCAAGACGAGACUAGUAUCUUCACAUCUUUGCAAAACUUGAUCAAGGUUGCUCAAGCAAUCAUCAAAAGAGGAUCCAUAAACUGAGAAUCAUCCAUGAAUACCUCACAAAUCUUUUCACGAAAGUUAGAGAAUAUAGCCAUCAUGCAUCUUUGAAAGGUAGCGGGUGCAUUACAUAAACCAAAAGACAUACGUCUAUAAGAAAAAGUACCGAAAGGGCAAGUAAAAGUAGUCUUUUCUUAAUCCUCCGCUGACACAUGUAUUUGAGAGAAACCAGAGUAACCAUCUAGAAAGAAAAAAUGUGUAUGUUUGGAUAGUCUUUCUAGCAUUUGAUCAAUAAAAGGUAAAGGGUAAUGAUCUUUUUAGUAGCUUUAUUUAACUUACGGAAAUCAAUUACCAUCCUAUAACCUAUAAUAAUUCUUUGUGGGAUCAAUUCAUAUUUAUCAUUAGGAACGACAGUAAUACCUCCCUUCUUAGGGACACAAUGGACAGGACUUACCCACUGACUAUCAGCAAUGGGAUAAAUUAUACCUGCCUCGAGGAGCUUUAGUAUUUCAUUUCUUACCACUUCUUUCAUCUUAGGAUUUAACCGUCGUUGGUGAUCUAUAAGUGGUUUGGCGUCUUCUUCCAAUUUUAUUUUAUGUUGGCAUAGAGUGGGACUAAUGCCCUUAAGAUCAUCAAGAGCAUAUCCAAUAGAAGCACAGUGCUUCUUCAGAGUUUUCAAUAAUCUUUCCUCUUCCUGCUCUGAAAGGUUAGCACUAAUAAUAAUAGGAUAUAUCUUCUUUUCAUCAAGAUAAGCAUAUUUAAGAGUAUCAGGUAAUGGUUUAAGCUCAAACAUGGGAUCACCCUUGGGUGGUGGAGGAUCCCCUAGGAUUUCAACAAGCAAGUUGUGUUUCAAAAUAGGGCCCUGUUUAAAGAAUACUUCAUAUAUUUCCCUUCUUUCAAUCAUAAACAUAUCAUUCUCAUGGUCUAGCAAAUAUUGUUCUAAAGGAUCAGUAGGAGGCACGGCAAUAUAAGCAAGACCAAUAAUUUCAUCCUUACUAGGCAAUUCUUUAUCAUGGGGUUGUCUACGAAAUUUAGCAAAAUUAAACGCAUGAGACAUAUCUCCCAAACCAAUAGUAACAACAUCCUUUUCGCAAUAUAUCUUAGCAUUAACAGUGUUCAAGAAGGGUCUACCAAAUAUGAUGGGACAAAAGUCAUCUUGUGGGGAACCAAGAACAAGAAAAUCAGUAGGAUAUUUAACUUUCUCACACAAUACUUCAACAUCUCUAACAAUCCCAAUUGGUGAAAUAAUAUCUCUAUUGGCAAGCUUAAUUGUAACAUCAAUUUCUUCUACCUUAGUAGGUGCAAUGUCAUGCACAAUUUCUUCAUAUAAAGAAUAGGGUAUUGCACUAGCACUAGCACCCAUAUCACAUAAGCCAUGAUAACAAUAAUCUCCUAUUUUAACAGAAAUAACAGGCAUGCCUACAACGGGUCUAUGUUUCUUAGCAUCGGGUCUAGCAAUUCUAGCAUCUUGAUCACAGAAAUAAAUAACAUGCCCAUCAAUAUUAUCAUCUAAGAGAUCUUUAACCAUAGCAAUACUAGGUUCAACUUUAAUUUUCUCAGGAGGUGUAUAUGUUCUAGUAUUACUCUUACGAACAACAGUUGAAGCUUUAGCAUGAUCCUUUAUCCUAACAGGGGAAGGUGGUUUCUCAAUGUAAGUAGUAGGAACAAUAGGAUGAUUAUAAGUGAUAGUCUUUUCUUCAACUGUAACAGGUGCAACUACUUUUACUUCAAUGGGAGGAUUAUAUUUAAACCACUUCUCCUUAGGGAGAUCAACGUGAGUAGAAAAUGAUUCAUGGAAAGAAGCUACUAUCUCAGAGUCAAGUCCAUAUUUAGUGCUAAAUCCACGAAAAGCAUCGGUAUCCAUAAAAGAUUUAACACAAUCAAACUUAGGUGUCAUACCUGACUCCUUACCAUCGUCGGAAUCCCAAUCUUUAGAGUUGCGUUUAAUUCUUUCCAAUAAAUCCCAUUUGAAUUCAAUAUUCUUCAUCAUAAAAGACCCAGCACAAGAACUAUCGAGCAUGGAGCGAUUGUUGAGAGAAAGUCGAGCAUAAAUUUUUUGAAUAAUCAGAGCUCAUGAUUGGGGCAUGAAUAUAACAUUGACUUAAGCCUCCCCCAAGCUUGAGCGAUGCUUUCUCCUUCGCGAUGCCAAAAAUUAUAUAUAUAAUUACGAUCACGAUGAACAAGAUGCAUAGGAUAAAACUUCUGGUGAAAUUCCAAUUUCAAUCGUUUAUAGUCCCAGGAUCCCAUAUCAUCACAUAGCCUAUACCAUGUCAAUGCAUCUCCCUUCAAAGAUAAAGGGAAGACCUUCUUCUUGAUAACAUCACCGGGCAUACCUGCGAGCUUAAAUAAUCCACAUGCUUCAUCCACAUAGAUAAGGUGUAAAUCGGGAUGCAAUGUUCCAUCUCCUGCAAAGGGAUUAGCUAGCAGUUUCUCUACCAUACCCGAAGGAAUUUCAAAGUAAACAUUUUCAGUGGGUUCAGUAUGUUGAGGAGCAACUCUUUGCUCUAUUGGUCAGGGUGAAGAUACCCUGAACAAGCCCCUCAAACGAUUAGUUUCCAUAGUAACAAGUGACAGUAAAUUUCAGCACACUAUAUAAAUGUUUCCCUACCAAGUUCCACUUACCAAAGGCGCUUCACUCCCCGGCAACAGCGCCAGAAAAGAGUCUUGAUGACACACAAGUGUAGGGGAUCUAUAGUAGUCCUUUCGAUAAGUAAGAGUGUCAAACCCAACAAGGAGCAGAAGGAAAUGACAAGUAGUUUUCAGUAAGGUAUUCUCUGCAAGCAUUGAAAUUGUAGGUAACAGAUAGUUUUGUGAUAAGAUAAUUUGUAAUAGGUAACAAGCAAUGAAAGUAAAUAAGGUGCAGCAAGGUGGCACAAUCCUUUUUGUAUCAAAGGACAAGCCUAGACAAGUUCUUAUAAUGAGAAAGGUGCUCCCGAGGACACAUGGGAAUUACGUCAAGCUAGUUUUCAUCACGUUCAUAUGAUUCGCGUUCGUUACUUUGAUAAUUCGAUAUGUGGGUGGACCGGUGCUUGGGUACUGCCCUUUCUUGGACAAGCAUACCACUUAUGAUUAACCCCUACUACAAGCAUCCACAACUACAAAACAAGUAUUAAGGUAAACCUAACCAUAGCAUGAAACAUAUGGAUCCAAAUCAGAGGCCUUACGAAGCAACUUAUAAACUAGGGUUUAAGCUUCUGUCACUCUAGCAACCCAUCAUCUACUUAUUACUUCCCAAUGCCUUCCCCUAGGCCCAAAUAAUGGUGAAGUGUCAUGUAGUCGACGUUGACAUAAUACCACUAGAGGAGAGACAACAUACAUCUCAUCAAAAUAUCAAACCAAUACCAAAUUCACAUGACUACUAAUAGCAAGACUUCUCCCAUGUCCUCAGGAACAAACGCAACUACUCACAAAGCAUAUUCAUGUUCAUAAUCAGAGGGGUAUUAAUAUGCAUUAAGGAUCUAAACAUAUGAUAUUCCACCAAAUAAGCCAACUAGCAUCAACUACAAGGAGUAAUCGACACUACUAGCAACCCACAGGUACCAAUCUGAGGUUUUGGUACAAAGAUUGGAUACAAGAGAUGAACUAGAGUUUGAGAGGAGAUGGUGCUGGUGAAGAUGUUGAUGGAGAUUGACCCCCUCCUGAUGAGAGGAUCGAUGGUGAUGUCGAUGGUGAUGAUUUCUCCCUCCCGGAGGGAAGUUUCCCCGGCAGAAUAGCUCUGCCGGAGCCCUAGAUUGGUUCCGCCAAGGUUCCGCCUUGUGGCGGCGGAGUUUCAUCCUGUAAGCUUGCUUAUGAUUUUUUUCCUGGGUAAAAGACUUCAUAUAGCAGAAGAUGGGCACCGGAGGGCUGCCAGGUGGCCCACGAGGCAGGGGGCGUGCCCAGGGGCGUAGGGCGCGCCCCCCACCAUCGUGGGUGGUGGGUGGCCCCCUUCAGGUAUUUCUUCCACUGAAUAUUUUUUAUUAAUUCCCAAAAUGACUUUCAUGGAGUUUCAGGACUUUUGGAACUGUGCAGGAUAGGUCUCCAAUAUUUGCUCCUUUUCUAGCCCAGAAUCCCAGCUGUCGGCAUUCUCCCUCUUCAUGUAAACCUUGUAAAAUAAGAGAGAAUAGCCAUAAGUAUUGUGACAUAACGUGUAAUAACAGCCCAUAAUGCAAUAAAUAUUGAUAUAAAGGCAUGAUGCAAAAUGGACAUAUCAGUGCCCUGGACGCCGUCUAUAGAUUCCUCAAAUCUUCCUCCACACCUCCGACAGCCACCUCUGCCUCAACUGCUUCAGCGACCAACGCAAUGAUGCUGAGGUCGACAUGGCUACGGCAGAGAGGUUGUACACUUGUUGCAUCACUUAUUAAUAUACAUUCAUGUUGAUCCAUUAGGGCUAUUUUGGUUCAAUGGAAAAACAUAGCAAUAGGGAAUUUUCCAAUGGCACUCUACUAUUCAAUUAUUCAUGCAUUUUGUUGAAAGGAAUGAAGCAAAACAUCCACCUGGACCUACUUUUCAAAAUCAUAUGCAUGAAAACAAGACCAAGUGCAGUAGUGGCAGAAUAACAUUCUAACUGUACACGCUUUCAUAUGGUUUCACUUUAUUUUGGCCAUGUUUCUUUGCAUUCCUCUACUCUUCCAAUUCAUGUCAACCAAACACCCAAGUUGAUAGAAAUCCUGUGUUUACAAAUGCUCUGUUUACCAUGUGCAUUCCUAUCCUAUUCGAGUGUUUUUCCUAUCCCUGCGGUUUUAGAAUCAUGCAAGCCAAAUGAACCCUUACAGAAUUACUUCAGUUACAGGUAGGUGUCAAAGGGAACUUUGUGUGGUUUGUCCUGCUCCUGCCGCGACGUCGUCCACCUCACCUGAGCUGCUCCAUCGACAGAAGCAUCCACCAAACCAGACAUCACGACUCCUGACCAUCUUUCGCCGCCUCAGAUCUCCUUCCCUGCCGUCGGCACCCACCGCAACGGCAUCACCAUCAUCGACUCAGCAAACGAACCUGAGGACUACAUGGGUCCACAAGAGAGGUCGCACUCUUUUGUUUCUGCUUAUGUUAUGCAUUGCUUAAAUUACCUGCUACUUUAUCGUCCUGUUCACCUCUUGGACUCCAAGUCAGGUCCAAAUUAAUGUUCAAACUUGAGUUCUAAAUUAGUUGUGGGGCACAUAUCGAGGCAGCAAUGAAUAGUAUGUCUGUCUAAUAUCUGGUUCACCUAGGGUAUGCCUAUGUUUUUCAUCUUGGGUGGGAAACAAAUAGUAAAGCAAUCAUCAUCUGUCUUUUUAUUACAUUAAAGCAAUCAUCAGCCUGCUAUCAUUAUUUUUGGAUCCAUCCACUGGUUGUUACCAUCACUCUAAAUUUCUGCAUGCUCUUCUUACAUAAUCUCACCAUAUUUUUCCGUAUGCAUGUCAGAUAUUGUACACAGUCAUGCUGAACCUGUAGAGAAAAAGAGAAGAGUUUUGCGCGGCAAUACAAUGUCAUGCAGACAUCGCUCCAUGGUGGGUUCAAUGGCAAACCCUCCCCACCCCUCUCCAGAUUGUAAUCCAGAGGAAGAUAUCUGUUCUGAGGCGGAACCAGACACCACUAACCACUCCUAUUUACCCCCCAAGGUGUUUGCUCUACCUUGGCAUGAUAAUGUUAGUCAUAUCAUGCAUAUGUUGCCUUGCAGUGCCUACUUUUGACAUCAUAUAUGUCAUCUGCUUAGUUUAGACAUGUUCUGUAAUGCCACCUGUUUAGUUUCUAUAUCAUCUAUGGGAAUUAUGCAGCCUCAUGUAUUUUAGCCAGCCAUAAUAUAUGUGAAAUGUGCCAUGCCAUCCUGUUUAACCAGGCAUCAUAUAUUUGAAUGAUAUCUUGCCCAUCAUUUUCUUCAUUGCAUUUCCAUUUGUCGAUAAUGUUUGUACAUGAAACUACUCUUCCUGUGAAUCAGCCAUUUGGGUGGGAGAUGGAAAAAUCUGGAGUGAAAACAAGGCCUUCAGAGCAGACGGUGCUACCUGUUGAAGCAGAUCUCUUAUUUGGUCCCGAUAGCUCCUCAGAGGUGGAUUCAGAGACAGAUGACCAGUCCUAUUCCCCCACCGAGGUGUAUGCUCUAACUUGGCAUGGUUAUACUGCUCAUAUCAUGCAUAUGGUGGCUUGCAUUGCAUAGUUUAGACAUCAUAUAUGCAAUAUUCAACACCAUGUUCUUAGUUCAGACAUCAUAUCGAAUGCCCUCUAUUUAGCAUAUAAAUCACAUAUGUGAAUUAAAUGAUGCGAUCCUAAUUACUUAGAUAACAUGUAGGUGAAUUAUGUCAUGCGAUCCUGUUUAGUUAUUCAUCAUAUCUUUGAAUUAUGUUAUGCUGUGAUAUCCAGUUUAGAUAGACAUCAUAUAUGUGAAAUUAUGUCAUGCUAUCCACUUUAGUUAAAUAAUAUACAUGUCAACUAUUCCAUGCCCUCUUUUUUCCACAAUAUCUAUUGCAUCUAUCUCUCAUACAAUGUUUGUGCAUUCAACUAUGUUUCCUAUUUAUCAGCCAUUUGAAUUAGAGCGGGUGAUGUCAGUAUCUAGCGGACUAAAAACACGGUCUUCAAAUAAAACAUUGCUACCUCUUGGUGGAGAUAGCACCCUAGUUGUACAUGCACAAGAACCAGCCCUACCACACAUCCAAACUCUCGCAGAUUGUACCCCUAUUGUGAUGGACAGAGAAACAGCUUCACGCAAUCUAACCCCAACCUCAGCAGAUAGUAACCCAGUUCCUGUUGACAUGGCACCAUCUCCACCACAGAGCUCCCAAACAAGAGCAGUUAGUAAGGCAGCUCUAGUGCCCAAAGGUCCAGUACUACCACGACGAACCCCAACUCCACCAGUUAGUAUGCCUAUUCCUGUGGAGGAAGCACAACUAGCUAGUCGUAGUUUAGCAUCUAUCGCAUUUGAUGUUGUUAAAUCGUAUGUGCAUAUCUUCCCAUCUUGGAAAUAUUAUACUGAAGAUGAAGGAAAAUGCCAGUUCCAGGUGUUUGUCCAGGACUUAUGUCUAAGUAAUGUUAUUCAUGGCAAUUACUUUGCUUUGUCCCAUACAUCCUACCAUACAUCCUACCUCCAUGAUGGUUAUAAUACAGCAAAUCUUCCCAUUUUUCUCUAUAGAGAAGGACCGAUUUGGAAAGUCAGGAUGAGGUAAUCUGUGCUAAUACCUCUGCUAUCUUCAAGAAUGCUUGGUGGCAGUAUCAGAAUUACCUGAAGAAAACGUACUUCACCGGCAAAGAAACUCAUCAAAUUCCCUUAUGUUCUCCUGAGACACAUUUACUGGACGAUGACUGGGAACGCCUUGUUCUGUACUGGUCCCGAACCAAGAAUGUGGUAAGGUCUAUGAGCUCAUUUUCUAUUUUUAAGUACUAUAUUCUUGCGUCUUACUGUAUUCUGUUCAUGUAGAACAAGUGCCUAAACCUGAAGAACAACUGUUCUAAUUUAAGAUUCUGUUGCUAUCAUAGUUCAAAAAAGCGCUAGGCGUUAAUUGUGCAUUUUGCCACCGCCUUGCGCUUUACUGACCAAAGCGCAUGCUUAUGUGCAGUUAUGCACAGAUUAAGCGUAGUUAUUGUUAGGACCCCGACUCGAUGUCACAUCGAUCCAGCCGGUAACACCUCAUAUCACUUUGCGGCCUCACGCACGGUAUCCCCACGGGUGUCGCCUUACCUUUGCCCGGGACCGUUUGCGCCUUUUGGCUCACGUAUAUGAUAGUGUCGCUAGCAUCCAUAUGAUAAGGAGCCCGGGCUGACAUGACUAGUCGUAAACCCAAAGUGGCACAGACUUACAGGGACAGGCAUCCAUGACCCAGCUUCGAACGUGUCGGUCAUCAGCAAGUGGGUCCGGGCUGUAGCACUGGGCUAGCAGGACUCCGGUAAACCGGGCUGUAGCGGGCUAACAGGACUCCGGUACUCAAAGCGUGACAUUUCCCCGAAGGGACAGACACAGGAACGAAGAAGGACACAUGCCGGCCAGCCUAAGUGUUCCGGAGCAGUAGCAAGCUACCAUGGCUCAGUGGAAACACUAGGAGACAUUUCCCGGUAAGAGAGGCUACUAAAGAUAAACAACUAGAUGGUCAGAUCCCACACAUACCAAGCAUUUCAAUAACAUACACACAAUAUGCUCGAUAUGUGCAAAUACAACAUGGCAUCACAACAUGUCUCUACGACUCAAGCAAUUAUUCAUUAGGCUCCGAGGAGCGAGACAUUACAAGCAUGGGUCUCACGACCCAACAAUCAGAGCAUACAAGUCAAAGCACAAGCGGAAGCUAUCAUGUCUGAGUACAGACAUCUAUAAAUGAAAAAGGCUGAGAAGCCUGACCAUCUAUCAGAUCCUGCCGAGGGCACAAGAUCGUAGCUGAGGUAUCAAGCUAAACGUCGAAGUCCACGUGGAACUACUAGUGAGACUGAAGUCUCUCUGCAAAAACAUAAAAUAGGCAAACGUGAGUACAAAUGUACCCAGCAAGACUUACAUCAGAACUAUCUACAUAUGCAUCAUUAUCAACAAAGGGGAUGGUAGGGUUUGACUGCAGCAAGCCAUCUUUGACUCGGUGGCUAUCCUGAACUACGACUGCAAGUAACUCUUUUGAAGUGGCGCACACGAGUCCACAUAUUCACCAACCAAUACACCACUAUGGAUCCGCUCCCGUCUCCCUACGAGAACGCCAUCCAUAGCACUCACGCUUAUCUUGCGUGUUUUAGAGUAUCCACUUUCACUUGUCUAUGAACUGUACAAGGGGUCCAAGUUUCCAUAUCCGAGGAAUCCGGCUAUUCGAAUAGAUGAUGAUAACCCUGCAGGGGUGUACUUCUUCACACACGCUCCCGCCACUUACCGCCCUGUACACGUCAUGUACCUCGGCAACCUUCAAGCGGAAGCCGGGCGAGGGAGUCGGCCACGACCUGACUAACCGAACAAGUCUCUAGUCCAGGUUUAUCGCCUAUUCGGGUUCCAUCCGCAAGGAGAUCCGGCCGGGGUGUCGCUCACGGACCCAAACGAUGUGAGCAGGGUUCCCAAGCCCACCAUCCGGGUGCCACUUGGUACACCGUGCCACUGUGCCUAGUCUGUCCCAAGCCCACCUGUACCGGGUGCCACUUGGUAGACUACUAACACUACCUACAAACACCAGAAACUAGUUGCAACUCCUGGACAGAGAUCAUGUUGAUUAAUAAGUCGAGAGGGGUCGAGUUACCGGAACCCAAUGUGUGGUAGUAGCUGUUCAUGGAUCACAAACACAGAACUCAGUUCCUGAGGACGGCUGCAAUGAGACAACCCACCAUGUACUCCUACAUGGCCUCUCACCGCUACCUUUACCAAAUCGUGUUCACACACUUAGUUCACCCAUAGUAGGACAUGUUCACACGCCUCUGAUUCAUCCCCGAUGAAACAGACCUGACUCAACUCUAAGCAGUAGCAGGCAUGACAAACAAGCAUGAAUGAGUAGGCACAUCAGGGCUCAAACAACUCCUACUCAUGCUAGUGGGUUUCAUCUAUUUACUGUGGCAAUGACAGGUCAUGCAAAGGAUAAAGGGUUCAGCUACCGCAGCAAGUAUCAAAUAUGUCGUUGUUGUCCUAAUGCAGUAAAAGAGAGCAGGAGCGAGAGAGUGGGAUUUUAUCGGAAUGAACAAGGGGGGUUUUGCUUGCCUGGCACUUCUGAAGAUAGCAUUGAGUCUUCAUCAGUGUUAACGAUCACAUCAUCGGUAUCACGUCUAUCGAGAGGGGACAAAUACCGGCAACACAAAAAGGAACACAAUCAAUGCAAUGCACAAUAUGAUGCAUGAUCAUGACAUGGCAAAAUGAAUGUGUUUUGGGCUAAUGCAACUAAAACCAGAUUAAAUGAAGUUGGUUUGAAUCCAAGAUUCAAAUUCAAACCCCAUAUGUGAUUAUUUAAAUGCCCUUUAAUUGAUUUGUGCUAAACAGCACCUAUAAGUUGUUCUAACAUGCAUGAAAAUGGUACAGAUGGAUUCCUUGAAUUUUUCUGAUAAUUUUUCAUAUAUAAUUUAUUAAAUUUGGAGUUACGGUUGAAUUUCUAUGAUUUAUAGAAGUUUUAGCUAUUUUCUGAAAUUUCCUGAAUAUUUAGAAUUAAAAUAAUUCCAGAAAAUGAAUUAUGGCGUCAGCAUGACCUCAUGCUGACCUCAGCAGGUCAACGGGCGGUCCAGAUCAAACCUGACGUGUGGGGUCCACACGUCAGUGACAAGGGGGGUUAACCGGGGUUAAUUUAAUUUAAUUAAAAGGUUAGGGGGGGUCGGGCCCACUGGUCAGUGUCAGGAUUAAUUAACAGAGUUGAUUAAAUUUAAACUAAUCCUAAACUAGAAUUAGUCAGGGCCGGGCCCACAUGUCAUUGACCCAGGGGAGGUCAAACCCCCUGGUCAACCGGGGCUAAUGCGCCGGCGUUUAGCCGCCGGCGACAGCAAACGCGGCGGAGGGGCUCGGGAUCGCCGCUCCGGCGACCAUUCGGGCGGCGGAGACCACCCACGCGAAGCCCAGACUCGCGCGCGUCUGGUAGUGCAAGUGGGAGGGGCUGGGGUGGCCGGAGCUGCCGGCGGCGAGCUCUUUUGCGGCUGCCGGAGCUCGGGCAAUCUCGGGGUGGCGUUACAGAGCACGGGAGGAGGCGUUGUGGGUGUCUACGGUUUCAUGCGAUCGUGCUGAUCACGAUGGUGGGCUUGGGAACGAGCUGCGGUGGCUGUGGCCACGGCCACACCAUGGCCGGCGGCGAGAAGCUCUCGGCCGCGGUGGGAGUUGGGGCUAGGGGGCGAGAACGGAGGGGGCGAGCACAGGAGAGGCAGCGGAGGCUCACAGCGGAUCCAUUCGAGGCGGAGACGAGGCCGGGGAUGGUCCGGAGCCGGCGAAUCGAACGGCGGCGAGUUCCGGUGGCCGAGGAGGGGAACGGCGUCGUGGGCGGCGAUGCAGGGCUCCCGGCGUCACGUGAGUUGGUGGGGACGAAGAGGAAGGCGCGGCGGUUCCUCUGGAAGCAUCGCCGAGGCGAGGGGUGGACACUGGCCGCGGUGGAGCUCGUCGGUGCUCUCGGGUGCUCGUGGUCGAUCGUGAGAGAGAGAGAGCAGAGGGGAUAGGGACGGAGGGAGAGAUACGGGNNNNNNNNNNNNNNNNNNNNNNNNNNNNNNNNNNNNNNNNNNNNNNNNNNNNNNNNNNNNNNNNNNNNNNNNNNNNNNNNNNNNNNNNNNNNNNNNNNNNNNNNNNNNNNNNNNNNNNNNNNNNNNNNNNNNNNNNNNNNNNNNNNNNNNNNNNNNNNNNNNNNNNNNNNNNNNNNNNNNNNNNNNNNNNNNNNNNNNNNNNNNNNNNNNNNNNNNNNNNNNNNNNNNNNNNNNNNNNNNNNNNNNNNNNNNNNNNNNNNNNNNNNNNNNNNNNNNNNNNNNNNNNNNNNNNNNNNNNNNNNNNNNNNNNNNNNNNNNNNNNNNNNNNNNNNNNNNNNNNNNNNNNNNNNNNNNNNNNNNNNNNNNNNNNNNNNNNNNNNNNNNNNNNNNNNNNNNNNNNNNNNNNNNNNNNNNNNNNNNNNNNNNNNNNNNNNNNNNNNNNNNNNNNNNNNNNNNNNNNNNNNNNNNNNNNNNNNNNNNNNNNNNNNNNNNNNNNNNNNNNNNNNNNNNNNNNNNNCCCAUCCUCCUGGCAGAGGAGGAAGGCGACAGGGGAGGGAGGCGGCGGUGGGCUGGGCCAGCGGGAGGAGCUGGCCAGCUGGGCCGGCUACAGGUAAGUGGCCCAAGUAGUCUCUCUCUCUCUCUUUCUUUUUUAAUUCUGUUUUCUAUUUUGCAGGUUUGUUUUGAAUUUGGCUUUGAAACCAAUUCAAUUUAUUUUGCUUCUGACAAUAUUUUUAGGAGCUAAAAGAAUUAAAACAAUGCUCCACAAAAAUAUUUCAGAAUUAUUGGACCUAUAUUUAUUUAACAGUAGAUAUAAGUCCAAUUCAAAUAGCUAUGAUUUAAAUUCAAAGUCCCAAAAAUAAAUCCUUAAAAAUGUUCAAUAUUUUGGUUGGGACCAGAACCCUUACCAAAAAUUAUCAAACAUUUAAGAAGAGCCAUUUGGAGCAAUGAAUAAGAUUUCUAGGGUUUUUGCCCCUCUUUUAUUUAGGGUUUUGAGGCUUCCAAUAAUUCCCUCAGUUCAAAUUUUCAGAAUUUAAAUAUGAUGCACACAUGAGCUAGCCUAGAGCACUACCAGCAGCUAGGGAUGUGACAACUCACCCCCACUAAACAAGAAUCUCGUCUCGAGAUUCAAGCGUAGGGUAGGAUGAAGGGGAAACGCAAACUAGUACAAUCUUCAUGAUCCAGGUUGCACUUCAAAUGAACGUUGAUUUGAACACCAUCUUUGUCUUGUCGUCUUGCUCUGAGAAAUCCUGCCAACAUGACAUGGAGGGAAGGAGACUCUAGAAGGGUCGAUCUUCUCGAAGAUUGAACAACUCACGGAAUGAGACAUAGGACCAUCUCUCGGGUUGAGACACGAGAUACACAUCAAGAGGGGUGGAAAGAAACGGAUGACGAAGGUUCACUAGGUAGACAACAAUUUCACGCUUAAGAGUGUGGUAAUCGAUUGUCAACGUAGCGAGGAGUUGAGUUGCCAUGAUACCAUAACGAUACACCUUAGGGAAGGUGACUCGUAGAGAUAUCCCCUUAAGUGGCAAAAAGAAUUACUUUUGAUUCAGAGAUCAUUGAAACUCUUUAAACCAGCCUAAGACAAUUCUCGAGCGAUCGUUUGGAGGGGGUCGGUAGAAUGGCAUACUCAAACUUGGAUGAUGUGGAUUACCUUGUUGAAGACAACGUAAUGGAUGAAUUUGCUUAUCACCGGAGAUGGAAGAGACCCAUGUAGAAUGGCCCAUUGGCGGUGCAAGCUGGGAACAAAAUGCAAAUGCUGGGAAUGAUUCUGGUAACUGGGGAAGAACCCAACAAUAGAGAGUGAAUUCACUGUUUGAGAAGGUCAUAGCAUUGCCGAGGGAACUGAGAGCAUCCCAAUUAGAGCCGAUGAUAACACGUAGCGCUUGUGCGUGCUCGCAAGAACUUGAGCAUUUCCACAAUCAUCAAGAUUCUACCAAUAUCCGUGUCAAGGAUUCUGGCAACACAACUUACUACCAUGAUGAAUACCGGUGGAAGAUGCCGACGCAAAGGAAGAUAACACCUUCUUAGAUUUCACCUUGGCGAGGCCAAGGAAACAAAAUCUAGAUGAUCGACCGAGAGACAUUUAGCACUCCGCUUCUAAUGUUCUCCUUGAUGUGCUAGCAUAAUCCACCCAUAGAUAUGGUUUGAUAUCUAGAACAUCAAGUAAAAGGUCGGACUUCGGGAGCAAUAGAAUCCAUAAGGAAUAGUUUCGGAGGUAAAUCCUACGAAAUCCAUAUGGGGAGGUGGCCAACUUCCUCAAACAAGAUAUUACAAUGAUAGGUCUUCCGGCUGGGUGUGUUGGCCACGAUAUCCACUUUACCGGUUAUCGAGGGACCAAUAUUAUAGUUCUUGGGAAAUGUUCCAAUCAUCAUAAUUGCCUGAGAUUCAGAUCUGGUUGGUGUCAGGAUAUUCCAGACUCAUCGAGUCUAGGAAGGAAAACGAAAGUUUGCAACACAAAUCGACGAGGUGACGUUGCGAGAUACUCGGGAAGUGAACUACGAUAGUAAGCUCCAAAACAUGAGCUGGUUCUGCUACAAACAUGUGAACACGUUGUUCCAGACAAGCAUGCCCACAUGGUAGUCUUAUAAUAAAACACUACCGAGUUCAGGUGGGGAACCAUCAACGAGGAUAUCAAAAUCCUUGCAUAAGGUAUACUCUUAAGAAGGAACUUCUUCUCCUUGAACAAAUCAAUCAGUGGCUUGGUGUGCUAGGAUAUACGUAUGGAAUGAAGAUGAUCAGUCUAACAGACCACAGAAUUCUUCGCACGUGCAUGACCGAUUUGGGAUGAUUCCAAAGGAAACAAAACAAUCUUUCUCAAAUUCACGGCGGCAACUUUCACCAAAUGCACGUGUAUAAGAGGAAGUCACUCCUUUCAUCAAACAAAUACUUCAUGAACGGGGCAUGAAGAAAAUGCUUUCAAAAGUUUCCAACACUAACUUAAUGUUCAACAACAUCAUGGAGGAGAUAAGGAUGUUGUCAAUGGGCUCAACAACAACUCAUCGGAAUUUCCAUAUUACUGAACUUCCACCAUCAUGUGAACACGGUGAUAGCAUUGGUCAGAACCAAAGAUAUAAUGGUGUAUGCUCGAGGGAUCAACCACGAGGGGGACAACAUUACGAACAUCGUCGGUUCUGACUUGAUUUGACGAUAGCCCUCACUCAAAUCAAAAGAUUGAUAAGACAAUAGGUCCAGCAACUGAUCACAGGGACCAAUUGAUGAAGAUAUCAUCUUUCUUCAGCACACACUACACAAGAAUAUCCCUUUGGAACGAACUAAGUCAGGCAAGCUUUUAUCUUCCAACUCUCCAAGUUGUUGUCUAGCUUAACCAACUAGCUCAGGGGUAUCCCACACAGAUUCUUGGAGAGAGGGUGGUUCACAAGAAACCAACUUGAUCACGAGCUCAACAUAACAGUCAGGUGACAACCUAGUGAUACUUUCGAGAAAAUAUUCGGAAAAUCACGAUCCACCGAUAUGUUACUAAGCUCGAGAACAAUCUCGCCUUUGAGGGCAAUAUGACAUGAUCAAAUGAGUGAGGACUUGACAAGAUCCUAACUCAUCAAUCGAAGGGUGCACCGAAAUAUGGACUAGGUAGCACGAUCAGUCUUAGAGGGAUGAUUCAAACACCGACACACUAAGAAUGAAAUUAUUGUCCUUUAACUACCAAGCAAUGGGGUUGCUAGGAGUAUUGAGUUCACACAUCAUGAUUCACUUGUCGGCACUACGGCUGCAACAACACGGAACCGAGGAAUGAAAAAAAAUGGCGAGAAGUAUCACUAUGUCAAGAAUUCACAAAAAGUGGUGCAAUUCCCAUGAUAUUCCUGAUAUAAUGAUGGUAAUACUUCAGGGUAGAGCAGACCAGAAGCUGGAUUGUGACUUGAUCUGUGGAACACAACUACUUUGACCCAAUCCUAAAUAUGGAUAAGGUACUGGAGUUUGUUUCUCCUAUUCAUUCUGAAAUAGAAUGGCUUGGCGGACCACAAGGGUAAUAGGCAUCGACGAACGAAUGCACGCAUACUCUUGACUAUCAAUUAGACGAGGGCCAGAAAACAACUAAAGAGGGACAACUCAAAAGAACAUAUGAUUUUCCAAGUUGUGGAUGCAUGGACUAGCAUGUCGAACGAAUUCAACAUAUUUCUUCCGGAUAACCCAUGCAGAAAGGUAGAACUGGCAGAGUCACAAUAUAGAAUCGAGAAUCCAUCGAGAGCACUCUGAUUGUGAUCUUUCGAUCAGCGAGGAACAUCUGCCAUAAACGGUUCGUAGUAUUUGGAAGAAGGAAAUACCACGGACCUCGAGGACUAAUGCAAGGGUUACUAAUAUCCUGAAGGAACUAGCAACACUAUCAACAUGAUUUAAGUAGAGUGAAUCUCGGGUUCAAAAACCCAGGAAUAGAAUACCUACUACUAAGUAGCAUCACGGGAUGCUUUCGAGAAUGAUGGCCAGAAUCAUCACACUGGGAACACAAAUCAUGGCUAAAUUACUAGAUGAUCCCCUAAGACACCUAGGGUCAUAAUAAUAACUCCAACAUAAAGGUCGAGGCAGUAAAGUACCUCAACUCACUGAUUUGUGUGAUUAAUCUGACCAAAGGCACAUUGGAAACAGGAGGAAGGGAUUUGCAAAUGCAUCAGACUGUUUGGAAACCUGGGAUGACUCAGACAGCAUAACGGCUGUAAAUGCUCAGAAAAGAUUUGAGACAUUCACAAAAAUGGUGGCAUAACCACUCAGAAGCACAAUAUCAAGGUUUCGAGAUCAACAGUUAACAUACGGAAGUAGUAGGAGCUGAACUGAGGCUUGAAUCAACAAUCUUAUAAGUCUACGGAUUAGUAACACGUGAUCCUGAUAGAAAGAAGAGAUAGCCUAGUUCUUAAUCCCCGUAGAAGAUAAGAUGAUGACUCAGAUCAGAAGGGCAUAAGGUAUAAGGAGUAAAAAGAGCCUUACGUUCCAUCCCACAAUCAAUUCCCUUACAUAUAACUAAAGCAUUUCUAGACUCAACUUCGACCAGUUUGGCUUGGUAAUCCUACAGGCAGUCAAGCUCUGAUACCAACGCUGUCAGGACCCCGACUCGAUGUCACAUCGAUCCAGCCGGUAACACCUCAUAUCACUUUGCGGCCUCACGCACGGUAUCCCCACGGGUGUCGCCUUACCUUUGCCCGGGACCGUUUGCGCCUUUUGGCUCACGUAUAUGAUAGUGUCGCUAGCAUCCAUAUGAUAAGGAGCCCGGGCUGACAUGACUAGUCGUAAACCCAAAGUGGCACAGACUUACAGGGACAGGCAUCCAUGACCCAGCUUCGAACGUGUCGGUCAUCAGCAAGUGGGUCCGGGCUGUAGCACUGGGCUAGCAGGACUCCGGUAAACCGGGCUGUAGCGGGCUAACAGGACUCCGGUACUCAAAGCGUGACAUUUCCCCGAAGGGACAGACACAGGAACGAAGAAGGACACAUGCCGGCCAGCCUAAGUGUUCCGGAGCAGUAGCAAGCUACCAUGGCUCAGUGGAAACACUAGGAGACAUUUCCCGGUAAGAGAGGCUACUAAAGAUAAACAACUAGAUGGUCAGAUCCCACACAUACCAAGCAUUUCAAUAACAUACACACAAUAUGCUCGAUAUGUGCAAAUACAACAUGGCAUCACAACAUGUCUCUACGACUCAAGUAAUUAUUCAUUAGGCUCCGAGGAGCGAGACAUUACAAACAUGGGUCUCACGACCCAACAAUCAGAGCAUACAAGUCAAAGCACAAGCGGAAGCUAUCAUGUCUGAGUACAGACAUCUAUAAAUGAAAAAGGCUGAGAAGCCUGACCAUCUAUCAGAUCCUGCCGAGGGCACAAGAUCGUAGCUGAGGUAUCAAGCUAAACGUCGAAGUCCACGUGGAACUACUAGUGAGACUGAAGUCUCUCUGCAAAAACAUAAAAUAGGCAAACGUGAGUACAAAUGUACCCAGCAAGACUUACAUCAGAACUAUCUACAUAUGCAUCAUUAUCAACAAAGGGGGUGGUAGGGUUUGACUGCAGCAAGCCAUCUUUGACUCGGUGGCUAUCCUGAACUACGACUGCAAGUAACUCUUUUGAAGUGGCGCACACGAGUCCACAUAUUCACCAACCAAUACACCACUAUGGAUCCGCUCCCGUCUCCCUACGAGAACGCCAUCCAUAGCACUCACGCUUAUCUUGCGUGUUUUAGAGUAUCCACUUUCACUUGUCUAUGAACUGUACAAGGGGUCCAAGUUUCCAUAUCCGAGGAAUCCGGCUAUUCGAAUAGAUGAUGAUAACCCUGCAGGGGUGUACUUCUUCACACACGCUCCCGCCACUUACCGCCCUGUACACGUCAUGUACCUCGGCAACCUUCAAGCGGAAGCCGGGCGAGGGAGUCGGCCACGACCUGACUAACCGAACAAGUCUCUAGUCCAGGUUUAUCGCCUAUUCGGGUUCCAUCCGCAAGGAGAUCCGGCCGGGGUGUCGCUCACGGACCCAAACGAUGUGAGCAGGGUUCCCAAGCCCACCAUCCGGGUGCCACUUGGUACACCGUGCCACUGUGCCUAGUCUGUCCCAAGCCCACCUGUACCGGGUGCCACUUGGUAGACUACUAACACUACCUACAAACACCAGAAACUAGUUGCAACUCCUGGACAGAGAUCAUGUUGAUUAAUAAGUCGAGAGGGGUCGAGUUACCGGAACCCAAUGUGUGGUAGUAGCUGUUCAUGGAUCACAAACACAGAACUCAGUUCCUGAGGACGGCUGCAAUGAGACAACCCACCAUGUACUCCUACAUGGCCUCUCACCGCUACCUUUACCAAAUCGUGUUCACACACUUAGUUCACCCAUAGUAGGACAUGUUCACACGCCUCUGAUUCAUCCCCGAUGAAACAGACCUGACUCAACUCUAAGCAGUAGCAGGCAUGACAAACAAGCAUGAAUGAGUAGGCACAUCAGGGCUCAAACAACUCCUACUCAUGCUAGUGGGUUUCAUCUAUUUACUGUGGCAAUGACAGGUCAUGCAAAGGAUAAAGGGUUCAGCUACCGCAGCAAGUAUCAAAUAUGUCGUUGUUGUCCUAAUGCAGUAAAAGAGAGCAGGAGCGAGAGAGUGGGAUUUUAUCGGAAUGAACAAGGGGGGUUUUGCUUGCCUGGCACUUCUGAAGAUAGCAUUGAGUCUUCAUCAGUGUCAACGAUCACAUCAUCGGUAUCACGUCUAUCGAGAGGGGACAAAUACCGGCAACACAAAAAGGAACACAAUCAAUGCAAUGCACAAUAUGAUGCAUGAUCAUGACAUGGCAAAAUGAAUGUGUUUUGGGCUAAUGCAACUAAAACCAGAUUAAAUGAAGUUGGUUUGAAUCCAAGAUUCAAAUUCAAACCCCAUAUGUGAUUAUUUAAAUGCCCUUUAAUUGAUUUGUGCUAAACAGCACCUAUAAGUUGUUCUAACAUGCAUGAAAAUGGUACAGAUGGAUUCCUUGAAUUUUUCUGAUAAUUUUUCAUAUAUAAUUUAUUAAAUUUGGAGUUACGGUUGAAUUUCUAUGAUUUAUAGAAGUUUUAGCUAUUUUCUGACAUUUCCUGAAUAUUUAGAAUUAAAAUAAUUCCAGAAAAUGAAUUAUGGCGUCAGCAUGACCUCAUGCUGACCUCAGCAGGUCAACGGGCGGUCCAGGUCAAACCUGACGUGUGGGGUCCACACGUCAGUGACAGGGGGGGUUAACCGGGGUUAAUUUAAUUUAAUUAAAAGGUUAGGGGGGGUCGGGCCCACUGGUCAGUGUCAGGAUUAAUUAACAGAGUUGAUUAAAUUUAAACUAAUCCUAAACUAGAAUUAGUCAGGGCCGGGCCCACAUGUCAUUGACCCAGGGGAGGUCAAACCCCCUGGUCAACCGGGGCUAAUGCGCCGGCGUUUAGCCGCCGGUGACAGCAAACGCGGCGGAGGGGCUCGGGAUCGCCGCUCCGGCGACCAUUCGGGCGGCGGAGACCACCCACGCGAAGCCCAGACUCGCGCGCGUCUGGUAGUGCAAGUGGGAGGGGCUGGGGUGGCCGGAGCUGCCGGCGGCGAGCUCUUUUGCGGCUGCCGGAGCUCGGGCAAUCUCGGGGUGGCAUUACAGAGCACGGGAGGAGGCGUUGUGGGUGUCUACGGUUUCAUGCGAUCGUGCUGAUCACGAUGGUGGGCUCGGGAACGAGCUGCGGUGGCUGUGGCCACGGCCACGCCAUGGCCGGCGGCGAGAAGCUCUCGGCCGCGGUGGGAGUUGGGGCUAGGGGGCGAGAACGGAGGGGGCGAGCACAGGAGAGGCAGCGGAGGCUCACAGCGGAUCCAUUCGAGGCGGAGACGAGGCCGGGGAUGGUCCGGAGCCGGCGAAUCGAACGGCGGCGAGUUCCGGUGGCCGAGGAGGGGAACGGCGUCGUGGGCGGCGAUGCAGGGCUCCCGGCGUCACGUGAGUUGGUGGGGACGAAGAGGAAGGCGCGGCGGUUCCUCUGGAAGCAUCGCCGAGGCGAGGGGUGGACACUGGCCGCGGUGGAGCUCGUCGGUGCUCUCGGGUGCUCGUGGUCGAUCGUGAGAGAGAGAGAGCAGAGGGGAUAGGGACGGAGGGAGAGAUACGGGAGAGUGAGAGAGUUCGUGGGGGCCGCGUGGCGUCUCCAGGGAGUAGUGGAGGCAAGCAGGGAGGCAGGAGGUGGCCGAAGCAGGGAGGAGGUGGCCGGGGCGCGUGGCCGCGCGCGCCGGGCGCGUUCCCAUCCUCCUGGCAGAGGAGGAAGGCGACAGGGGAGGGAGGCGGCGGUGGGCUGGGCCAGCGGGAGGAGCUGGCCAGCUGGGCCGGCUACAGGUAAGUGGCCCAAGUAGUCUCUCUCUCUCUCUUUCUUUUUUAAUUCUGUUUUCUAUUUUGCAGGUUUGUUUUGAAUUUGGCUUUGAAACCAAUUCAAUUUAUUUUGCUUCUGACAAUAUUUUUAGGAGCUAAAAGAAUUAAAACAAUGCUCCACAAAAAUAUUUCAGAAUUAUUGGACCUAUAUUUAUUUAACAGUAGAUAUAAGUCCAAUUCAAAUAGCUAUGAUUUAAAUUCAAAGUCCCAAAAAUAAAUCCUUAAAAAUGUUCAAUAUUUUGGUUGGGACCAGAACCCUUACCAAAAAUUAUCAAACAUUUAAGAAGAGCCAUUUGGAGCAAUGAAUAAGAUUUCUAGGGUUUUUGCCCCUCUUUUAUUUAGGGUUUUGAGGCUUCCAAUAAUUCCCUCAGUUCAAAUUUUCAGAAUUUAAAUAUGAUGCACACAUGAGCUAGCCUAGAGCACUACCAGCAGCUAGGGAUGUGAUAGUUAUGCGCAAUGUGUUUUGCCAAUGCCUAGAGCCUAGGCAUGCCUUUUUUAACUAUGAUUGCUAUCGUGCAUACUGCUUUGCUCUUGUAUCACUGUAUUUACUCAUACAAACUUAUUUUUAAAUUGAAGGAUCCAAUCGAAACUCCAAUGGCACAGCAGGUAUGUUCACGCAUGUUUCUUUAACAGGUUUGCUCUUAUCAAUAGCUCUCUUGAUUUCAAUAUCAAUUAUGUAUACAGUUGACUUCUCAUAUCAUGCACAUUACUAGCAUCACAACAAAGCCAAUAGUGUUGUUGUACAUGUAGACCCGUGGUACCCAUCUGAAAUCUUGUUGUGCCAUGUAGUUUCCCACACUUUGUAUUCUUUCACUGCUGCUUUGUCUUGAACUAAUAUGAUUUGAACCGUGUCUCUAUUUUGAUUUGGCAAGACAAUGCAGUGACCAUAGGACAUAGAUAUAUGUUUGUUUGAUGCUUUUAUUAUGUACUAGUACUUGGCAAUAGAAGACUUGGUAGUUCAAUCAUGUCCACCUUACUAAUGAACUGGUUCACCGAAAUGAGUUUCAUAUACUAGUACAUGCUAAACCUGUUAUGUGUCUGCUUGUUUCUUUUUUUAGAAUGCUGGCAGAAUAUUGGGGAAGAGUGCCUUAUUAAGCAAUGGUAAAGGAAGUAAUGCAGAUAAGGUUCAGGAUAGUGACACAUCCUUGUUGGUCUCCAACAAAGCUGAUAAAACAGCUAAGGAAGACUAUCUUGAAGACAGUGAGACAACCCCAAAGUCAUGUCUUGGUUUAGUGUUCGAGUUACUGGCCACUACCGCUUGCACAAGCUAUUCAAACUCACUGUCUGAAUCAGUUCCGUUUCUUGAGUCUCAACUACAAGCUGAAAGACAUUGAUUAGCUGUGCUGCGACAAGAAGCGGAAGGACUGCGGAAGUCCCUGGAGCAUUCAGAUGCAUACUUUCUGGUCCAACAGCAAGCGUUGGAGGAUUUUAGCGCCAAACAGGACAAAGAUAAUAAGCUUGCUAAGCUUAUUGCCAGCAUGGUGGAUACCUAGGAUAACGUUUCUUGAGCUCUUCUCAAGUUGUUUCAGUUAUGCUCUUGUUUUGCUGUCGUGUUUAUUUGCAAUGGUGGCCAAUUUUGACGGCCAGUGUAUGUAAUAUCUUGCUUUGUUCCCUAUAUUUGCACUGGUGGCGAACUUUGAUGCCCAGUGGAUGUAAUAUGUGUAAUAGCGGUAAUAGGCUAGCGUUAAUUGCUUGCUUAUUUAUUUCCUUAUUGUCUUGUUUAGUUGUUUGCUUGUAGUCACUGCAGUUCUUUUUCUGUGUUUUCCUAGUGGGCACAAUAGCCUAUUUUUGGUAAUUAGGCCAAAAUAAUCAUGGCAAUACACGGACUGUUGUAACGAUGGGCCUCCUGCGGGCCAUAUGAUCCAUGGGCCUUCUACGGGCCGUAGGAUCCAUUGGCCUUCUAUACGGGUCAUAGGAUCCAUGGGCCUUCUACGGGCCGUAGGGUCCAUGGGCCUUCUACGGCUCGUAUGAUCCAUGGGCCUUAUACGGGCCGUAGGAUCCAUGGGCCUUCUAUGGGGCGUAUCGUCAUUUUGCCAAUCAUGGGUCGUACUAUUCAUGGACCAUAACGGGCCGUUAAUAGGCCGUAUUUGAUAACUCUAUGGAAACAGCCCAGCGGGUUCUUUUUACAUGAAAACGGCCCAACGUAUUAACGGGCCACAAACGGGCCGACUGUAACGACGGGCUAAAUUUGGCCCACAAGCAGAAAAUGAUAGUAACAGGCCGUAAGUGACCGAAUGCUGGAAAUGAGCCCAAGAAUAAAUGGGCCCUGAGAAGGCCGAAAGAUAACUUGGGCUGGAAACGGCUCAAUGGAAUAAUGGGUUGUUAAUGGGUAUAAAGUGAUACACUGUUCAUUACGGGCUAGUUUCACCAUGGGUCGUUAAUGGGCCAAGAGUUACAAAGGGCCUCAUAUGGGCCGAAAGAAGUCAUGGGCCAUACAUGGGUCGGAAGUUAAAAUGGGCUGGGAUCAUAUUGGAUGGCCAAGAUGACGCUACUAGGCCUAAUUCGGAGAGGUCGUAACUGAAGGAAAUAUGCCCUAGAGGCAAUAAUAAAGUUAUUAUUUAUUUCCUUAUAAUCAUGAUAAAUGUUUAUUAUUCAUGCUAGAAUUGUAUUUACCGGAAACAUAAUACAUGUGUGAAUACAUAGACAAACAUAGUGUCACUAGUAUGCCUCUACUUGACUAGCUCGUUAAUCAAAGAUGGUUAUGUUUCCUAACCAUGAACAAAGAGUUGUUAUUUGAUUAACGAGGUCACAUCAUUAGUAGAAUGAUCUGAUUGACAUGACCCAUUCCAUUAGCUUAGCACCCGAUCGUUUAGUAUGUUGCUAUUGCUUUCUUCAUGACUUAUACAUGUUCCUAUGACUAUGAGAUUAUGCAACUCCCGUUUACCGGAGGGACACUUUGGGUACUACCAAACGUCACAACGUAACUGGGUGAUUAUAAAGGAGUACUAUAGGUGUCUCCAAUGGUCGAUGUUGGGUUGGCGUAUUUCGAGAUUAGGAUUUGUCACUCCGAUUGUCGGAGAGGUAUCUCUGGGCCCUCUCGGUAAUACACAUCACAUAAGCCUUGCAAGCAUUACAACUAAUAUGUUAGUUGUGAGAUGAUGUAUUACGGAACGAGUAAAGAGACUUGCCGGUAACGAGAUUGAACUAGGUAUUGGAUACCGACGAUCGAAUCUCGGGCAAGUAACAUACCGAUGACAAAGGGAACAACGUAUGUUGUUAUGCGGUCUGACCGAUAAAGAUCUUCGUAGAAUAUGUAGGAGCCAAUAUGGGCAUCCAGGUCCCGCUAUUGGUUAUUGACCAGAGACGUGUCUCGGUCAUGUCUACAUUGUUCUCGAACACGUAGGGUCCGCACGCUUAAGGUUACGAUGACAGUUAUAUUAUGAGUUUAUGCAUUUUGAUGUACCGAAGGUUGUUCGGAGUCCCGGAUGUCAUCACGGACAUGACGAGGAGUCUCGAAAUGGUCGAGACAUAAAGAUUGAUAUAUUGGAAGUCUAUGUUUGGACAUCGGAAGUGUUCCGGGUGAAAUCGGGAUUUUACCGGGUUACCGGGAGGUUACCGGAACCCCCCGGGAGCCAUAUGGGCCUUCAUGGGCCUUAGUGGAAAGGAGAAAGGGGCAGCCCAAGGUGGCUGCGCCUCUUCCCCCUCCCCUAGUCCUAUUAGGACUAGGAGAAGGUGGCCGGCCCCCCUCUCUCCCUUCCCCUCCAAGGAAUCCUAGUUGGACUAGGAUUGGGGGGAGGAAUCCUACUCCCAGAGGGAGUAGGACUCUCCUGCGCCUCCCUCUUUGGCCGGCCAGCCUCCCCUCCUCUCCUCCUUUAUAUACGGAGGCAGGGGCACCUCUAAACACACAAGUUGACACAAGUUGAUCCUCGUGAUCGAUUCCUUAGCCGUGUGCGGUGCCCCCUGCCACCAUAUUCCUCGAUAAUACUGUAGCGGAGUUUAGGCGAAGCCCUGCUGCUGUAGUUCAUCAAGAUCGUCACCACGCCGUCGUGCUGACGGAACUCUUCCCCGACACUUUGCUGGAUCGGAGUUCGGGGAUCGUCAUCGAGCUGAACGUGUGCUCGAACUCGGAGGUGCCGUAGUUUCGGUGCUUGAUCGGUUGGAUCGUGAAGACGUACGACUACUUCCUCUACGUCGUGUCAUCGCUUCCGCAGUCGGUCUGCGUAGGGUACGUAGACAACACUCUCCUCUCGUUGCUAUGCAUCACAUGAUCCUGUGUGCGCGUAGGAAAAUUUUUGAAAUUACUACGAAACCCAACAGUAACAGGCCCUGGGUUAGCGGGCUGUAAAUGGGCUAUAUGCGAACAGGCCGUUAACACGCUUUCCGUGGGCCGCCCGCCACCUUUUGACCAAGUCAAACGGGCCGGCCUUUUCACAGGAAUGGGCCUCUGUUGGGUCAUGCCAUGUGUCGACGUUUCAUAGGCGCCUUGGGUCCAAUGAGUGGAAGACAUCUGUCCCAACGGUGAGCCGACACGUGUUUCCUCCAGCCAAUGAUGAUUUUACAUGUGGAGAAUCCCCAUUGGUUGGGGCGGUUAAUGGGUUAUCGGAUCCAAAACCGGACCCGAUAGCUUAAUGGCGUUCCGUUACGGUGGAUGCCACGUGUCGGUCACCCUUGACGAAAGCACUUCUGUGACGCACGAUUUAUCAUCAUGGAAGUGGACACUUCCAUGAUGAUAAUUUUGGUAAUAUCAUGGAACACUUCUACGACAGCACAGGUAUGACUAUCUUGAUUCUGCCAUAAAAUCGUCAUGAAUGUACAUGCAUGACAAAAAAUGCGACCUACUAUGACAAACACGUAUCAUCACAGAAGUGUAUUUUUUUGUAGUGAUGCUUUGUUUGAAAGCAAGAACAGUUGUAAGGAAGCAAUAUAACAAAGGUGUAACGGUGCAGCAAGUGGAUCAAUCAUUAAUUAUGCUAAGGACAAGUCGGUUGCUUUACUUAUAGGGAUCAAGGCGUUCUCGUGGUACAUGCGAGUUUCACCCAGUUACUUUUAUCAUGAUUCAUUGAGUCACCGUUCAUUGUGUUGAUACUUUGUUGUGUGGUGAAACCUAUGAUAAGGUGUUGUUCUUACUUCAAUAAACAACCUACUUAUGAUUACAUCCUCUAUGCAAGAAUCCGUAAAUACAAGAGAAUAAUUAGGAUUAUAAUAAAUUCUAGGGUUCUAACUCCCCUUGUGAAACAGUUCAUAAACCUAGGGUACGGUAAUAUCUGACACUUGAGCUACCCAUGCAUAAACAAACUAAUCACACGAUCCUUGUCUCUAGGCCCUUAAAGGUGAAGUGGUGUGUAGUCGAUGUUCGCACAUCCGCACUAGAGAACUACACCACAACAUAAUAUCAAAACAUUGAACUAGAUUCAACUUCACAAGAUUACUAGGAACAAGGUUUAUCCCAUGUCCUCAAGAAUGUAAUGAACUACUCAAAACAGAUCAUAUGGAUAAGGACCAGUGAAAAUGAAUAUGAUUAACAAUCUAAACUAUGGAUCUUUCACCAAUAAAACUUCUAAGCAUCAAUUACAAGGAGUAAUCAACAUCAGAAAGUAAUCUCAACAAAGGAACUAAGAUGGAAGUUCAUACAUCGGAAAGAUGGGAUGAAUGGAAUUGAUGGAUAUGAUGGUGCUGAUGAAGUUGAUGAUCCCAAUGAUCGGAGUGUUGGUGAUGACGAUGGAUGCGAAUUCCACCUCCCUGAGGGAUGGAUCUCUGGCAGAAUCAGUCUGCAGGAGGGCAAAAGUGCUCGGCCUCACAGCGAAGGCGGAAACAUCCUAAAAAAAAUCCACGUGGGUCAAGAUACAAUUUAUGGCCAGAGGGUGUCAGAAGACGGUGCCCAGGGCCUUCACGCGGCCAAUGGACACGUGAUAGGGGCACAUUGGGCCCAUGUGGCACCCCUCUGGCGCAUCUUCUGACUCGCGGCUCCUUUUCUUCGUGAAAAAUAAGUAAAAAAUUCAGCCUUUUUGAAGCUCCAUGAAAAUACUUUUUCCUCGGUUGCAAUUUUGCUCUUGUUUUUCAGUUGUCCGGAAUUUCCUGAGAAUAUACCUCUCCGUGUAUUUCAUGCAAAUUAAAGGGAAAAUACAUUAGAAUUAAGCAAUAAUGUACCAAGUAUCAUUUAUAAAGAGUAAAUUAUAAUAAUAAAAGUAAUCAAAAAUUGACGCAUCGGUUUGUUAUCCUGGACACUUUGCACUAUUAGGAAUAAGCUAGUUAUUGAGCAUGCUUUGUUGCAACGACUGUCGGUUGCCAUUUACAAAUUUGUUUGUUUUUUGCAGAAAUGGAAAGUGCUUAGCAGAUUGCAAAAGCACGUUGACGUCGGGGAGUUGGCUUCUUGGCUUCGAAUCCUGGCGCACCGGUUGUCUCCUCCACCCCCUCUAGAACCUAACUUGCUCUAUAUAUUUUUCUUCUCUGUUUGGGCAUUUUUUAGUUGCUGCUACGAGCUUACCCCUGUUUAUUUAAUUAUUUUUGAACAAUCACCGAAGAGGAGAGGGUCCCCACCUGAAUGUAUUACUCAAAAGCCCAAGGGAAAGUUACAUUAAGAAUUACAGCAAGAGGAGUGUUACAGGCGCCAUGACACGGCAACCUCCCUAUUUAUGGGGUCCUUAAAUCUAAAGGCCCAAAGCGUAAACUCUAAAAUGAUGUUCCAAACAAUAUCAAGGGGAGUGCAUCCCAUUGCGGAAAACACGAGGAAUCCUGGAGUCCCAAAGUUUCCAGAGGAUGGCGAGGGCGACGGUAGGCCAAAUGUUGAUGUCAAGGCCGACCGGCGUUCGAGUAUCCCAGACGAGGUCGAUAGAGUGAGGGUCCUAAAGGCCCAAGAGGGACCAGACCUAAGCCGCACAUGGGUAGAGGAUAGCAAGGUGUAUCGCGUUCUCAAGAGAGAUGUCGCACCGAAGACAAGAAGAACCAGAGGAUAUGGUCUUGCGAUGAAGGUUCGCCAUCGUGCUCAGCCUGACACGCCAGAGAAGCCAGUCAAAGAUCUUAACCUUGAUAGGUGCCUUGGAGCCCUAGAUGUACCAUAUGUUGAGACCAAACUCGUGGUCGGAGGAGAGCAGUGAGUAGGCGCACAUCGAGGUGAACAAGGAGUCAUGGGUGAGGACCUUGUCAUCGGGCACGUCGCUCACGGUAACAUCCUGCAACAAAGCCAAAACAGACGCCAGCUCGACAGAAGCAAUGUUGGUUAGGAAGUUCCGUAGAGUGGUGAGUAAACAAUUAUGCAUGACAUGAGAAACCAGGACAGAGGCUGAAGUGGAGUGAGAGAAGAUGUGGGGGUAGGUUUCUGCGAGCGGAGUAGACAUAAGCCAAGCGUCGAGGCAGAAGAAGGUGGAAGUACCAUUGUUGGUAAGGGCAAAGGAGAUUUUGCAAAGGCGGCAGAGCUGUUGAUUAACGCUUUUCCAUAGGUAGGAGAGGCUUUGUGGUUUAUUCGUGAAGUUAAGAGUGUAGUGCUGGAAGAACCAGUUUACCCAAGGUAGGUCUGGUUUUUGAAGAAGUUUGAAAGUGAACUUCAUGAGGAGGCAGUUACUUUAGAGGACUAGAUUUUUGAUACCUAGACUAGGACGUCUGGGGCGGUGACCUUGGGGUUGGUGGUGGUGGUCAUCUCCUCCGUGGGAGGUGGUCGGCCUGAGGCUGGGUGGUCGAAUCUCGAGAACUGUCAUCUAGUCCAAACUGCGAGUCGAGGAGACAUAGUUGCUGGUGAAAAUCAAACUGACGGCGGGAGAUGGCGGCAUUCUGGACCAUUACCUUGAUGAAGACAUCGUCGUGUAACUACUAUCGAACCACUCGUGUUGCUUUGGGGGAAACCCUAGGAUCUGGUUGUUCCAGAUCGGAUGACGACGACACUGCGGUGUCGUUUCUCUCUUGGGAGCAUCAUUUGUGGAGCAACGCUGGAAAACAGAGGCAUGAGGUGGAGCGGCUUCGUCUUGCAUGGAGUUUCGAUGGAGAUGUCAAGUCAUGUCUGGCCAACAUGUGCUACCUGAUGUCAUGCCUGUUCGGCAGGUGCUACUCACGACAGAUCUUCCAGAGACUUCAAGUUGUGUCGGCCGGUGGUACUUGGCUGUAUGGUGUUGCGGUGUACCGGCGGCGACCACGACGUGCUCAGAAGUUUGCGCGCAGGGAGUGGUGUUAUUGGGCGUCGUGGUGGCGUUGACGGAUGGCCGGACUGGCAAGGAUGAUGCAGAUCUCUUUUUUGAAGAUGAGUUUGUGGUUUGAUGAUGAUGGUGGCUUCUAAAACAUGUGCAUGUGGUGUACGUUUUAGGUUUGCUACACCAGUUGUAGGUUCCGAUACAUUAUGCGGAUGGAUUGACGACGACACCAGUUUUAGAUAUGGGGACUGAGAGCACUCCAGAUUAUCGAGUUUGUAGGUGUGAGUGGUGGCUUCGGGUAGCUUGAUGUAUGUUCUUGUCAUAUCUUUGUUGAAUAAUUAAUAAAGAUGGCUGUAUGCAUGAAUUGAUGCAUAGGCCAGGAUUUUAACCUCCUUUUCCUAAAAAAUAUCUAUAAAGCAGGACGAAAGUCUUUUUGAUAUCUCCCUUUUCUUGGUUUUUUUUUGAAGGCCCUCUCCUUGUUUCUAAUGUACACUGGUUGUCCUUCAUUCAUAUAAGCUAUUUGGGAAGGAAUUCCAACGCCAUUAGGUGGAUUUACAUGUCACGUGUAGCACCCCACGGAGAGGGGUAGAGAACUUCUAGCUACAACACGAGACACCAUGAUUGAGUUUCUAUUUUCAUGUUUGAAGAUUACCGCAUUAUCUCACUAACCCGCAACUUGAUCUCCUAGUCAGUUCCUCAUAGGACGGCCACAAAAUUCAUCAAGAGUUUUGACCAUUCUCAAGCAAUCACUCGCCAUAAGUAUCUUGCAGAUCCCCGGGUCCGUGGAGAACAUCAAGGCACCGUUUGAUAACAAAGUAUUAUAAAAACCAAAAUAUUGAAGACUAAAGUAGUUUAUUUCGUAGGUACACAAUACCAUGGUUUUGCCAUAAGAGAGUAUUUUGAAGUAUUUAGAAUACUGCGGGACCUGUUUGGCAAGAGCCGUUUGAAGCUGUUUCGAACUGUGCCUUGAGCUAGCUAGACACCUGCAAACCGAUGAACGGCCAUGCACAGACGUGCGAUCAUGCACUAACUGAAUGGCAAGCUAAAUGCGCCAUGCACAAUCUCGGUGUUACCCUUCCAAAGUAACAAAUAGGAGGAGGCAUGUUGCCCGGAGCAACUUGAUUUUCUUCCGCGUUGAGAUCACCAGGAGCUGCGGAUGCUGGCACGACCUAAAGCUCCACAAGACGACGGUGCCAGCAGUGGAUCAUGCGGCAAAGCCGCUAGUGAACUGAAACAGCUUGGCCUUCAUCCGCGUUGCCGUCGAGGUAGUUGUCCCGUCGAAAGAGACUAGUCUGGCAACUUGCUCCGUCCCAUCAACCAUGGCAGUUCGCACCGCACUGUACUGUCGUUCCUUGAUCUGUCCAUGUCCACUCGAGCUCGUUCUUUUAGCGUGCUCAGUUUUAAAAAAAAGAGGUCCGAGGUUCUUUUUCUAAAACAAAGAAAAUACCAUAGUAUUAAAAAAACUGUAGUAUUAAUACCAUAGUUUUUAGUGGUUGUCAAACAUCUCAAAAAAAUUAAAACCAUGAUAAUUCUAAAAACUGUAUUAUUUUUAAAAUACUUAAAAAAUACAGAGCUAUCAAACAGGGCCCAAGCCUUCAAUGUGGCACAACUUUCAUAGAUUUCGCCUCUCGUUGGAGACCCAUGAAGAUCUCAAGUAACAUCCCAUGUCGUCUCGGACUAUAGCUGCGACCGGGCGUCACUGAUUUUUUUUUUAACUGUCACUCCGAAUUAUUAUUGAUGUCCACAUCAACGUCGACUUUUUGAGUUACUCCCUCCUUCCGACAAUAUAAUACAUUUUUAUAAGUUGUUUUAGCUUGCAAAAACAUCUUAUAUUAUGGGAUCGAGGGAGUAUUAUUGAUGCCCACGCCGACAUUGAUCUUUACAAUCCCGAAAUCUUGUGCGGUCAUGAAACAAAAGCAUGCUCGGUGGGUGGCUCUUUCUUUGCUAACGACAAUGACACGUCAGAAGUAAAUCGCUUGAUGAAGUUAUCAGUUGUGAGCGGACUCUGAAAAAAUAUCGUCAUGAAUAGCCAUCUUCCUUGCACUCGAAUCGCCCACAUUGUCACAAGAGUCUCCUUUAGCUCAUGAUGGGCCGAUUUGAUGAUGCUGAAUAGCCAAUUUAAGGCCCUUUGAUUCAGAGUAAUUAAUAGGAUUUUUGGAAGAUUAUAAUCUUUAAGAAUUUUUUUUACAUUGGUUGUUUGAUUCAUAAGAUUUUUUUUUUGAAACGAGGCAAAAGACUUGCCAUUUUCAUUGAUUAAGAAGAAGAAAAUUGCCUGGUUAAUUAACGAAAAAAUGGGCUAAAACCGAUACAAGACAACCCACAUGACAUGGGCACCACCGGUCAACCUGGCCACCGACAUGGAACAGAAACCAUGACGGCACAUGCCAACAGAUGGCCCCACGCGCAAGCAACCAACAGCUCCGACUUUGACGACGAGCAACACAAGAGAAAUAUGCAGGACUUGCGCCGGGAAGAACCAACUACCAAAGACCACGCCGCGACCCAAGCUCCUCUUGACGCCAUCAUUGUUGCCAAACAGAAACCAGCGCCCCGCCUCAGCAAACCACGCGGCGAAGAUGCCGCCAUCGACGGCGAAGAUGCCAUCAUCCUCCAGUCUCUCAGUCGUACCCGGCUCUGAGACGAUGCCCCCAAGGAGGAAAAGACGAGAAGACGCCUCCAUCGUCCGAUCCAGAGGAUCUGAGGUUUCCCUCCAGAGCCCAAGCCGUGGGGAGGAUGAGGAGCACCUCGACGAUGACGCUUCCAAGAAAGAUCGCGACACCCGCGGGCGCCGCUGUCGCCGGCUCCGGUGAAGACCGGAGCAAGGAUUUCUCCCGGAGAUGUCCGACCACCUACCACCGCCGACCGCCGCCCACUAUCCACCAUCCCUGCCGAGGCCGGCCUCACUCUGGCCAUUGGAUCCCAUGAUCCACCACGACCAGACACGCACCACCCCCUGACCGAAGCCGCCAUCACCACACCCGGGCCGCCGCCCCGGAGCCCAAGAGCCGCCACGUCAUUGACUUCACCGUCGGAAGGAGUCCGGCCAGGCCCGACGGCAUGGAGCCCACAUUGCUGAGCUGAAGGCAAGGGAGGGCCUGACCAGCCUGCGACCUCGGCCCAUGCCUUGCCUCGGUGGGCCGGAGGACAGCCAAAGCCGCCGCAGGGAGGCUACAGCCAAGCCGCAACAGAUCUGAAUCGCCGGAAGUCGGAGCCGCACGAGCGAGAUGGAGCCGCUGCAGCAGCCUAACCUCGACCCACCGCUGGACGUCGCGAGGCCGCCGCCGUAGCCGAGCCUACUCAUCGCCGUGGGGCCCUAAGCCAUGUUGAAUCUGAUGGGAGAGAAAGGAACGACCAUUGCCCGACAGCCCUGGCGACAAAGACGACCGCACCACCCCGCCGGCAGCAGCACGUAGCAGCCCCGACGCGGACACCGGAGCUCGACCCCAACGAGGCCGCCAGAUCGAGCGCCUCCCGAUCCAGCACUCCAAUCCCACUGCAGCCACCACCCACGCUAGCCAGCCACCGCCGCCGCAAACCCCGCCGUCAGUCGCACCACCGGAAGCAAUGACGCGGGCCGCGCCAGGCCAGGCGCCGACCGCCGUCGGCUGCCACGAGCUCCCCACCUCACGAGCAAGCCAAGCCACCGGGCGGAAAGAAGAUCCCGCCGCCACUGGCUCCGUGCGGGCUUUGCCCGCCGAAGGCUACCGGCGACGGCGAGAGGAAGGAGGAGGGAGGGGAGCUUUGGCCGGGGGGAGUUGGCGGCGCCGCCCGUGCCGCCCUAGGGAAGGAGCGACGCGGGGGCCGAGAGAAGCAGUGAGUGAGGGAGUGAAGAUCUAUACCCGGUUCAUAAGAUUGACUCAUAAUAUAAUUUUUCUUUUACUAAGUAAUCAGUUGUAUUACAUUUCAUAGGAGGACUAGCAUCCACUUCAACCUCUUGGAGGAAUCUUUUGGUUUUUUUUAUGCAAUCAAACAAACUCAAAUCUUGUAAGAUUUGAAUGGACAUGACAUUCUUUUUUUGCGGGGAAAAUGGACAUGACAUUCUAAUUCUGUGUUUUUUCUAUUCGUCCAUUUUUAUAAUUCUGCGAAUCAAAAGCCCUGGUUGUGUUUUUGGGAUGGGAGACGGGGAAUCGAUUUAGUCGCAGAGUUAACAACACGCAGAUGUUUGGAUGUCUUGUCCGUGCCAUGAACGGAUGAACCAUGAUGCGCCGUCCGUUGUCGUCGCUGGUGCUGGUGCGUGGUGAGUUCGUGUGGCUGAUUAAUGAUAACUUGUACUCCGGAGUAGCUAGCUACUUAUUAGAUCAGCAAUCCGGCAUACGCAAAACAGAAUUUCGGUAAAUUUCCUAGACGAAAUUGCACAACUACUUUAGGGAAGAUAAGUCAACGCAUUUCUUUUUGAGAAUAGAUAAGUCGACACAUUACAGCAGUUGAUCCAUAAAUCUCCUUAUUACAUACAGGCUAUGUAAAAUAUACUCACACAAUGACUGUAUAGUACUCUGAAAUACUAACUCAGGCCUCUCCGCGCGCCUCCGCUUCCACCGGAUGCCGUGGAACGGCAGGAGGGGCAUCAAGCGCAGCACAGGAAGUCAAGGAUGCUGGAGCAGCAGUCGUAGCAGCAAGAACAGCUGCAAACCAAGCGCAAAUUAGGCACGACCAAUCAAUCAAUCGGAGAGCGGAGAGGGCCGAGCGGGGCAAGAAUAACACAGGAGUCUCAGUCGACCAACCAAUCAAAUCUAGUUAGCAC
rnacentral:lncRNA from 1 species